rnacentral:lncRNA from 1 species
UGAUUCGAGCCCAAAUCUAACUCAAUUUUAGUCGAUUCCCAUAAAUUCUCCUCCUUGACGAAUUCGUUCAACUUGGAGAUUUCAUCUUCUCUUUUCCCAAAAGUACUCACUCCAUAGUGCAUUAGCUAAAGCUCGUUGCAGGUUGAUCGAAUCAAAUUAAAACAGCGCUCGAAUUUAGUCGAAGGAAGCAGUUUCAUCAGCAUAUCUGUGGGGUUGUGAGCUGUAUCAAUUUUGUGAAGAAAAACUUCCUUGUUAGUAAUUGCUUCUUGAUUCAAGAUUGGCAUGCAUGUUAAACUCUUAUUAUUUUUUAAUUUUAGGUGAUGCUCCUCAUAACUUAAACAUCAGACAUGAUGAUGUCAUCAUGAUUGUCCCAUCAAGUUCCUUGAGCAUCAAAGCCAUCAUUUAUUUCCCCUUUUUGCGGGUGUUGAGACAUGGAUGGAUGGAUGGGUCAUGAACUUGCUUGGAAGUUUUCGGAUCAUUUUGCUUGGAGAAAUGAUACGAUGGGUAGGUGGAGUCCUAAUCCUGGGUUAGGUUACGUCAAAUCAUCAUGCUGUGGACGAGUGCCAGCGAUUCAUAUUUGUCUACGUCUGUUAGCUGGGGAUGCAGACUGCACGCUUUAUCCAUGUACUGCAAAUAUACAAGGAAAAUACUGUCCACAGCAACCACCUCUACCCAUCUCUCUCUCUCUCUCUCUCUCCCCCUUUGUGCCUUGAACGUACGAGGAAGACAUAUAAACAAUUACUUGUCCUACUCCGAACACCUCUCUCUACAUACUGAAACAUACAAGCAAAACGCUGUCAUCAGUAACCACUUACCCGAACUCCAUUUCUCUCUUCCUAAAUGAAGCAGACAAGCAAUACACUGUCGGCAAGGUCUUAAUACUCUUCCCUUCUUCUCUUAUCAAGUUGGCUUCAUAACAUCGUUCAAAUAAUUAACGGUAUUUAGAAAUAAAAUAAUUAGAAAUAUAGUAUGUAAAUAAAGAUAUAGGAGUCGCGAGAACAAUAUUUUUACAGUGUGACAAAAAGAUACCUUGAGGAAUUGAGGAAAAAGAACAAGAAGAUACUUUUUAUUAUCGAUCAAGGCACAAAUCAAGAUAAUUUUGAAAAAUUUAUGAUCACCGACACUAUCGACAAGUUCGAGAGAAAUUCUGAUACUCUUACAAAUAUGGUGAGAAAAAAAAUCAGAUACAAUAAGGAAUAAAAAAAAGAAGAAAAUGAUAAGAGUAUUAGGUUCUGAAUAAGGUUGAGUCGUAGAAUAAUACUACAACUCAUUAUCCAUAAAAUGUACACAGUGUCAAAACUUGAAGUUGAGUUUCGAAUUCAUCGAAAGAUGCCAACGGUGAGAAACUAUUUUUUUUUAGUAUGCGCUCUAUUUCCACAACUUUAAUACUAGAAUUUUAGAACAUAGGCAUUUCUGCAGUCCACAUAUCGUAACGGAGUCUUCUUUUGAUAGCUUGUCUCAGACGGAGGAAGAGUUUACAUGUUACAUAGGGAAAACGAACAUGCGUCCCGAUUCCAUGUAAGAUAAAUAUUCGUGAUAGAUGGAUAUUGCUUCAUCUCGACUCAGCUCAUCAGGUCAGUUCGGUGCAUGCACAUUAUCGCAGUUCGACUUGGCAUCGCAGACACCAUUAUAGCUCGGGCCAGCCUGACCAAUCCGUCAUCAGAUUAGUUCGAUCGACAGGCGAACACCAUCAUAGCUGUGCUUAGCUUGAGUUCAGUAAUCACACCGAUGAGACUGUACAAUUGACCUUUGUUUUGUAGCUCAGCUCGGUGCGUUUACGCUUCUUCGGGAGUUUGCGAGAUAUUUGGGAUGAAAAAGGGAUCAAGUCGACUUUAAUCCGCUACAUUCUAUGGAUGAUCAAAAUCUGACCUCCAUCAACAUCUUACCUGCUUACAGUCGGAAAGUUCACCUCUGGAAGCCAGUUGUCUUAACCCUUCACCUAAUCCCUGUACUUGGAUGAAAACUUGAAGAACACCUCAAAAGACGUGUGGUCUUCAUAGAGCUGCCUUUUUCCCUUGAGGUGCGACGUGCUGCUUUUCUAUCUUGCCACCUACCCCCUGUAACCGUACCCACACAUUUCUCACAUCCUCUUCCCCUAUAAAUGCCACAGUGCUUCAUUCCCCUUCUCACCGAGUCCUCCAACGUUUCAUCUUCCCUCGUCUUCCCUCUUGCCAAAACCUACGUGACAUCGAUCUCAUCUCUCUCCCUCCCUCUCGCCGCCGUCAGCAUGCCCGUCGACGCUACCGCGCCACCCACCGGCAAUGGCCAGACCGUGUGCGUCACCGGUGCCGGCGGUUUCAUCGCCUCCUGGCUGGUGAAGCUCCUGUUGCAGAAAGGAUACACCGUCAAGGGGACGGUGAGAAACCCAGGUGACAUGGCUUGCGUGCAGCGGUUCUAUGUAGGAGAACUCCCACGUCGUUGGUCUGUAACGCUGAGGCUUCUUUGUUAGCAGAUGAUCCGAAGAACGCACACCUGACGGCGAUGGAGGGCGCCGCGGAUCGGCUGCUGCUUUGCAAGGCUGAUCUCCUCGACUACGGCGCUCUGCGAGAAGCCAUCGAUGGCUGCCAUGGCGUCUUCCACACUGCUUCUCCCGUCACGGACGACCCUGUAUGAUAAGCUUUAGCCCAUCGCUUUGUUCUCACUUAAAAGUGUGCGGAGAAGGAAGAACAACUGAUGUUUUGGUUGUGUGCAUGCGUUACGCGUGUGGAAGGAGGAAAUGGUGGAGCCGGCUGUGAGGGGCACGAGGUACGUUAUCCAUGCGGCGGCCGACGCUGGCACCGUCCGUCGUGUGGUGUUUACCUCCUCGAUCGGCGCGGUCACCAUGGACCCCGGCCGCGGCCCCGACGUCGUGGUGGACGAGUCGUGCUGGAGCGAUCUCGAGCACUGCAAGAACACAAGGGUGAGCGCGCACGAUAUAUCGAUGCAUCGGUGCACGAGGCUGGUGGCUGACGUCACUGUUGUGGUGGUGCAGAACUGGUACUGCUACGGGAAGGCGGUGGCGGAGAAGGCGGCGUGGGAGGUGGCGAGGGAGACGGAGGUGGAGCUGGCGGUGGUGAACCCGGUGCUGGCGCUGGGGCCGCUGCUGCAGCCGCAAGUGAACGCCAGCAUCGCCCACAUCCUCAAGUACCUGGACGGGUCGGCGACGAGGUACACCAACGCGGUGCAAGGGUACGUCGACGUGCGGGACGUGGCCGAGGCGCACGUCCGAGUGUUCGAGGCGGAGGCCGCCGCCGGCAAGCGGUUCAUAUGCAUCGAGCGCGUGCUCCACCGCGAGGACGUCGUCCGCAUCCUCUCCAAGCUCUUCCCGGAGUAUCCGGUGCCCAACACGUAAGUACCCUUCCUCUUUGCAUGUGUGGCAUGGAAGCAUUACAGGAAGUGGACGUGAGCGCUUAGAAGCGGCCAAAACACACAAAGAAGAAAUGAUGAUAGCUUAGUGCAGCAAGGUAGGUGAAUUGGGUGGACCAAUCUACAAUCCAAAUUAUAUAAAAGUUUGCAUUACUGAGAUUAGACAUUUAUAAAAAAGAAUUAAACAUAUAUUUUUUGUUUAUAGAUGAUUAUAUAAAUCAUAAAAUAAAAUAAAAAUCAUUUAAGAUGAUAUGAAGAUGUGCUAAGAUGGUCAUCUAGUCUACAUAUGCUAAACUAAAAUGAAUUAGUUUUAAUGCAGCGAGAAAAGAUAACAAAAAUAAAUAAGAUCUUUCUACAAAUUAUAAAUAAACAUUUAAAAUUCUUAAAUUGAUUAAGGAAGUUUGAUUUGUAACAAAGAUUUCUUAUAAAGAAUUGGUGUAUUAUGACAUGUUAUGUAUAUAAAUCUGUUUUCCAAGCUUAAACUUGUAUUAUUUGAGGCCAUCAAGAGAACAAUAUGAAGUUAAUCAUAUGAUUUUCAGACUAUAGUUGACCUAAUUUCGAUCCAUAUUAUUGAUUUUCACCAAGAAAAAAGAGAAAGAAAGGUUGAAACAUAAACAACUGAUCGUUACUUUGUAAUUUGCUGUGAUAGAGAGGAACUUAAAAUUUUAUACUGAAAAGAUUAUAGAAGAAUAACAUGCUAGCACUAAACAUCUGACAACAUUAUAUCAUAUACUUGGAAAUAUGGAGAUCUAUGUAGUUUAGCCAUGCCUUCAGGGUAAUAUGACUUCCAAGUGUACCUUCCAACUAUGCUGUCAUAGGGAGAUGGAGACUGACAACCUGAGGCUGCAAAUGGUUUCUCCGACUGAGAAGGGAGAUGAGCAACUGGACCUUCAGGAGAAAGCCAUAUAGAGAGGUUUGUGUUCAGAAGAAAUGAAAUGUGUUAAUGACAUCUGUCAAAAAAAAAAAAUAAUAAAGAAAGAAAGAAAGAAAGAGGAAGAGAAGACAAAAAGGAUAUCAGAUACAGUGGGGUUUUCUCACCUACUCCCUGUUAGGUUCCUCUGAAGCAAGAAGUAAUGACAAAGAUAUCGUUGUAGCUUAGAAGUAUGGGAAUGGUUGGACCACCCCAUCACCAGUUCUCAAAGAAUGAAGAAGCUAAGAUAUAGGCAUAGAGAGAGAAACUCUUGAGACAUGGAAUAUAUCUGAUGGAAAAAGGAUAUGCAUUAGUAACUUCGUCUAAUCUGAUUAAUACAUGGUGAGUUCAAAGAAGAACAUUAGGAAAAUGAAAAUAUAUAAUUUUCUUGGUUUUUCUAAGAAGAAAUAUUCUUUUUUCUGCAUAGCAGAACAAGAUGAGUAGCGGAGGGAAAUCAACAAUGACACUCACAUGCAAUUGUUUAGGAUUAUACAAAUAUAUCCAAUUUACAUAAAUUAGAAGCCCUAAUUUAGAUUAGAAUGUGGGGAGUAUGAGAGUCAAAAGUCUAUCCUCCAAACAGGAUUAUAGUCUGAUCAAGAGAGUAGCAAUAGAGAGGUUAUAGUAAGGUUUAUCGAAUUAAUAUAGUCUUUUUUUUUAUUUUUAGUUACUUCAAUUCUUUUGUUGAUGAUUGGUGUUCUAUCUCCUCUUUUUUCAAUCUUAAUUCUCGACAAACUAGUCGUAAAACAAAUAUAUUUUUUUGUUGCUAAUGAUGAAUAGUAGCACAAGAUUGAAAAGGAUAUGCUUUUCUAAGGGUAUGUUGUCACAAUCAUGAAAAAAAAUUAAAACAAAAAAAAAAUUAUAUAAUACUUUAUUAGCUUCAACGAGUAGUUGAUAAAAUAAAUUUAUUUUAAUUUCUAGAAGAUCUGAGAGAUAUUAAAGAAAGAGUAGCAUGGAAAAUUCUUCCCACAGGAAGCAGCUGCUAAAUGAAUGCCAAACUCACAUCAGAAACCCUCGGGAGAUGCUUAGACCAAUCAGAUCAUGCACAUAGCUAUCUUACAAUCUUUGCCAAGUGCAGAUUUAGAAUUGGUGAUAGACAAAGCUUCCUUGCAGCUGAUGUGAAGCUUUGUGUGUGUUUCUUUUGUCAGCAAGCUUAAAAGACACUGAUCUGGUCGUACUAGAAAAGGACUCCCAAGUUUUUUGGUAGCCUAACACUCGGAGAACACCUCCCGAGGUGCGCAGACAACCUAACACAGUCAAAGCAGUGUAUAACACCGUGAAGCUGUUUGAAUGGACUAUUGUUCAGUGUAAAUAAACCACUUGCUUAAAAUAUUUAGACUUAUUAAUAGUAAUACAUCUAUCAGCUAUAAAUCAAUUCAAAUAUUAGUUCAGUAUCAAACCUUCACUAUAUCGGCCUAAUAGCAUUUAUCCAUUGACAACAUAAAAUGUUUAAUCAUAAACUAAUAAUUAUACAUUCAUCAUGUUCUUAUGUUUGAGAUAAGUUAAAAGUCUUUAGUGUUUUUAUAAAAUAUCAAUUUAUUAGUAUAUAUAACCAAUGUUUUUUGAGUUAAUUGAAUAGGCUAUAAAUAUUUUAUAAAUCAAUUUUUUAGGUGUUCAAAUGUGAAGGAUAUUUCUUACAAGUUAACUUAUGAGAUUGUGAUGUCAUACCGCUCUCAAUUUUUCUCUAAAUUGGGUUAUUACAAUUAUAGUAUGUGACCUUGACUGAUGCAUAUUUCUUGUGGUUGCGGUGGUGGUGGUGGUGGUGGUGAUGCAGGUGUUCCGACGAGGUGAAUCCUCGAAAAAAGCCUUACAAGUUCUCAAACCAACAGCUCAAGGACCUUGGCGUGCAAUUUAGGUCGGUGAUCCAAAGCCUCUAUGACACUGGGAAGAGCCUGCAAGAGAAGGGUCAUCUCCCAUUGCCAUCUCCAAAAAUAAUAUGAAGAUAAUGUGCUAUCGUUGAUGUAUAUGAAUAUAUAUCGUAUGAUGCCUGUAUGUAUGGAUGUGAUUAUGGUCUCGUUUAAUAUAUUUAUAUAUUUUUCUCCCUUGUUUACCUAAUCAUCCAUGGCCAACCAUCCUCCACCAACCAUACAAGGCUAUCUUUGCCUUUCCGGUGUUACUUACUCUUUUUCCUCUUCCUCUACUGGCUAUCACGGAUGACCGCAACCACAACCCCGAUUCAUUCGUCUUGUAACACUUUGUAAGUGUUCUUUAGUCUUUCCUUUGCAUGAUUUGCUUGUACCUUUGUUUGUUCUUUUUCAUGUUUUUAUAGUAAAAAUCUCUUAAGAUGUGUGCUGUAUCGUUUGUACAAUGUGAAAUGCUAAAGUCAUUCUUGAACCUUGUUUGACUAGCAUAGGGUUAGAUACACUUGGGGUGAGUUUGUGCUGCAUCGUAUCGCACACCUAAUUCUUGACUCUCAUUUAGCUACAUCCUUUCGCACACACUUCAAGCCUUUCAACACCUAAUUGUUGACUAUUAUUUAUGGACUUGCAGCCAGUCUUGUUUUACUUUGGUAAUAAACUUGAUAAGAGGUGCCCAUUUGAUCGAAGCUAUCAUCCUUUCAAUGCUCUCUUUUGAUUUUGCACCAUCCAUUUGCUCACCCACCGGCCUUUUAUCUUCAUCAUUUCAAAUCACAAAAUCCUACGCAAAAGCGUUGCCACCCCCGUAUGAGGCAUUAGAGUUUGAUGGAAGCUAUCAUUUGAGGGUAAUGAGUUGGCACAAAGUAUUCCCCCAAGAACUAAAAGAUGUAACUCCAAAACAAGUGGUUGCGAUAGCUUGGGCCAAGUUUCCUAAACUCUGUCUGCCUUGAUCGACAAGGUUCUCAUUUGUAGCCCACAUACCAUAAUUUACAUGAAAUGAUAUUGUUGUUUAGUGUUUACCGUUAUUGACACUUUGGCUCAUUUGGACUGUCUGUAAUCACAAGUCUCAUUCACAGUUGUGAUAUUUCAAUAUUCUUCUUGGUGUGCAAAUCUCUGUGACAAGAAUCUAAUGGCAAGAUUAUGAUACUCUCACUUGCUAGUUUCCAAUCAAUGCAAAUCCAACAAACUAUCUACGGGAAACUGAGUCGAGUCAUCUCUUGUUGGCACACUGCCAAUAAUAUCUCCUCCAUGACUACUAUCAAAUUCAAGCAUCUCACAGAUACAAGACAACUAGUCACUCUCUCCACUGCAAACAUUUCUUUGCUCGUUCUGAAGGUUGACUACAUUCUUGUUACAUCUAUUAAUCGAUUACAAACUCAUUAUCAUCUGUCUUCCAUCACUUAGCUUCAUUUUCCAAUGUUGAUAAACAGAUACAAGUACUACUUACAGAAUUGAAAGAGAACAUAGUCUGUUCCUCUGAGGAGAAAAAGAGAACAUGAAGUGCAUGAUCUAAGAAACAAAGCCAUAUCUUCUGCUUUCGAGGUGGUGAGUGUCUGCAUAAGCCAUCAAUCUGGCAAAUCAUAAGAAUAAUUAAAUUCAUGAUCGCCUACUUAUCGAUGUAUCAAUUUGUGAUCUCGACGUUGUUAAUCUUGAACUGUUUGACGCAAGAGACUCAUUGCAGCCGAGCUGAAUGGGGAACUUUAAGAGUUGUUAGAACAGCUAUCUUUUGCCAAGUCUCAAACACUUGUUAUAUUUUACUUCUGUGACGGCUGAUAUCGACAGACUACUCUGUGUUAUCUGUUUCACAAGAGUGAGCUUCUCCAUCGCAUUGAUAAAUUUUCGCAGGUGCUUGAUAAAUUGGGGAAAUGUCUCUAGGUUGCAGUGGCCGCCUCCCUUGAUCCACAAUGGAUCGUACUUUUCUUUCGAUAGCUCCCACAGGCGUUUUCCAUGAGUCCAGUCAACAAUCUCAUCGGAGGUUCCCUACAAACAAGUGGUAGAUGGUGUAAGGCAUCAUAUCGAGUCCUUUUUAUCUCCAAAUCACAUUUGAAAAGAUCAAGAACAUCAAUAGAUGAGUGAAUUGAGAUUCUGAAGUAAUACUGUACAAAGAGUUCAUGCUAAAUGGUUUCAGAAACAACAAAAGAGGAUGUCAAACAUUGAAUCCAAACAUUUUAUCUUCGGUCAAUCUCAAAGCAACUUCUUUUAGUUAAGCAAUACUCUGACAAAAUUGUAGGCAUCAGAAAUUUCAAAUGCCUGCAUAAACUUAAGCAUGUAGUGGAUAUCAACCAAUUUGGACAUUUCUGGAGAAGAGAACCAAUAAGAGAAGCAUUUUCCAUCAACUAACUUGGUACUUGUGAUAGUUGCUUGUGAAACAAAUCUUCAGUUUUGACUUUUUUAUUUUGUUAUAUGCUUUACAACUGAGCCUAUAUAGAUGACAUGAAAAGGCUUAGAUGAUGAUGAUGAUGCAAAAGCUAGGUACUGAUCAAACGAAAUAUAAUGCAAAACCACUUAGGAAUUUAAGACAUUCAUAGUUAUUUCAUUAUACAACUUCAAAGUUCUAAUUUGCAAGUACACUUGUAGAAUGACCGAUCUGAUAUCCAACAUAACAUUGCGGAACAGAUUGCUCAAAUGAGAGAUGAAAUUUGUUCGUCAGAAAGCUGACCAAGAAGGCUUACAUGUAUAACAAGAACUGGGCAGUUUACUUGUCGAAUUUUGUCAAUGUUCUGCAAACGAAAGGUCCAUGAACUAGUAAGAACAUGAAUAUGAAUAAUAAAUGCAGGAAAAGAAAAUCUAAAAUGGUUGUAUUCCAAACUUACCUUAAAAAUAUCAAACCACAAUGUCACUUUCACAGGAUACAAGACUCGUAUGCCUGAGAGGAUUGCACUAUGGAGGACUACACCUCCCAGUUUCUGUAAACGUGCAGCCAGGUGCAAUGUCGGUCCACUACCAACAGACUGACCAUACAAAAUGAGAUCCUCCUGUUUUAUCUCAUACUCUUUCAUCAAGCAAUCGUAGACUGCUUCUAUGUCAUAGUAUGUGUUGAACUCAGAUGGCUUUUGGGAAUGACGACAAGUAACAAGGAAAACAAGAUACUAUCAGCAACCAAAACUAUAGUAGAAUGAGUGCUUUUGAUGAAAAUAUAUCAACUCAUAAAAGUUGUUGUAGCAGUUGCUAUCAACAUCUUUAUCCUGAAGUUCUUGAAAAGCAUGCUUAGACUCGAUUGUAAUUUCAACACAGUUCAUAUGAUAAAAUUUGAUAAUAAUCAUAUAGAUUGGCUAUGUUAGACCUAUCAUAGAGUUCAGGAUUUCUUAAAGCAACUUUUCACAUCCUUUCAAAUUACAAAGAAGAAAAAAAAAAUCAGCCAUCAGAUGGCCUGACUAUAAAAUUUGAAAAUAUAUUUCAAAAGAGUGCUUUAUCCAAAUAUUUACUUCGAGUAUAUCAGAAGCAUAAAUACUAUGGUGAUUUACCCCUGAAACUUAUGGAUUUCUGUGAGUUGGUCACCCCUUCUAAGGGUGCUUCGAUCUUGCUAAACAGAAUUUCAUACGUUGAAUUGAUACAACUAAUUUACUCCAUCACUAGAGACCCUCUUUAUCUAUUUAUGAUAUCGAGUACCUCUUUGAAAAGAAAUUUUCCAUUUAGAUUUUAUACUAUGGAGCUAAUGUUUUAGGCUUUUACCAGUCUGAGCAAAAUUAUAUUCGAUCAUAUGGCCCGAUAGCAUCUAACUUUUCAAUAUUAUUUUAGCCGAUAUCAGAUGGUAUGGCUCAGAGUUCCCACCCAGUACAUCAGGUAUCAUAUCAGUCAGAUAGAUUACUGAAAUAAGCAUCAGUCUGAAAUUUAAAACAUUGGUAGGCCUUAGCUAUCCAUAGUUCAAUUCAAUUGAUUUAACUAUUAUCAUGGAGAACACAUGAUCCUUUUGUCAUAGUGUUAUAGAUCCAGAAAUCUUACAAAAUACCUAAAGAAUUCAGGGGAAGAAAAAUAUUACUCCAUUGCUUGCUUAUUUACAAAUGUUUACCUUUCCUGUAGAUGCUCCAUAACCUGAGUAAUCAUAACUGCAAAAGAGAAUAAUGUCAUCAAUGAGUUCUCACUGCAUCUUACAUCAAAAAGGAUUUUUAUGAUUUCAUUUUAAAGCAAUAACAUAUUUGUUCUAUUAUCCAAUUUGAGAUUCAAAAAUUGAAAAAUUGAACAAUACUAAUGGCAUCCUUGAAGAGAGAGGAUAACAAAAGCAACAAGAUAGAAUUGUUGUUUCAGAUAAGAAUUCAAGAAGUCUAUUCGGAUAUCUCAUCAUGCCAUAUAUGUAGACAUAUGACAAAAAAAGAUCAAAUCAAAGGUGAUCACAAUGAAAGAGUGGAUGCAUAAUGGUAGCCUCUUUGUCAGCUCCCCUGGGUAAUAUCACCCUCUGAACAAUCGUUUCCUGGUUCCGUUAUAUAUACACAAACUGCUCUCCAAGUACAACAAAAGAUUACAUGCACAGGGCUUAUCACCUCAAGUUUCAAUUUUCCUUCCUCAAAAUCUAAUAGUUCCUUUUGUAGUUCUGUAAUCUAUACAUAAAAUUGUCUCCAAAUUUAAUAAAAUAUCACAUGCACAAGGCUUACAACCUCAAGUUUCAAUCUGCCUUUCUCAGAAAUUUAAAUGUAGGUUGGUUAAGGCAAACGAUAAACCGAUAGGUUAGCAGAGGAAUCAAGGCAAAAUUAGGAUUCAGGACAACCAGGAAUCUGUGCAAAGACAGAUGAAAAGUUUGAGGGAACAACACGAAUAGAGGUAGAAAAGCACAUUAAUUGAGAAACAAAGCCUGCACCUGCACGUUAGAGAGAAUUCCUAACGAGCAUGGAUGCAUGAUAUAGAUCAUAUGAAGCUAAGCGUAAUCUUGAAUAGGUCUGCAUAAAUUAAAAUUCUUCCUUUUUCCCUAUUAAAAUCCUAGUAAUUUCAUUUAGUCGUGGCAUUCGCUUAGAAGAUCUAAAUCCAGCACAAGAUAAUCCAAAAAAUUCAUAUUUUUCCCCGCAGAAAAGGAACGAAAAAUGAAGAAGGAAGAGAAAGGAAACAGGAAGUCUACCUCAUGAUGUUGACGCGGAGGUGGGAACGGAGCUCAUGGAAGAGGUCGAGCAUCUGGCCGAGGUCGGCAGCGUUGCCGUGGGAGUAGAGGAGGGUGAAGCGGGCUAAGGGGUGGCGCCAGAAGGUGGCCACCACCCGGUUCCCGGCCUUGGUCUCCACCAGGUGCACCUCCACGUUCUUCCCCGGCGGCAGCCUCGACAGGCACAGCGGCCCUUCUCCUCCCCCCUCCCGGAACACCUCGUACGUCGCCGGCUCCGGUGGGAAGAACGCAAAUCGUGCCGCCACCGACGACGUCACGUUCCCCAUGUCUCCUCCUCCUCCUCCCUCCUCUCUAUCCCACAAGCUUCUUUUUCUGCUCCUCCUUCCUUUCUUCUUUUCUUUUGGUGCUGUUUUUUAUGCUAAUUUUCGUGAAACAGAGGAGAGGAGAUAGACAGAGGAAGGCCCAAGAGAUUUCAUGAAAGGUCGAGAGAGAGAGAGAGAGAGCGGGUGGGGGGUUUGGGUUGACGGCAGCGAAAUGAAACAGAUUAAGAGCAAUUAAUAGAGGUGGGGAUUGAAUCUGAUCAGGGAAGGGGAUGGUGAUGAGCUGGAUCAGCUCAGAAUCCAAGGGGGAAGAGCUGAAGAGGUACAUCUGUCUCUCUCUCUGUGCUGCCUCUCCUAUUGCCAUCAAAUGUCUUCUUCUGCUCUUGCACGGAUCUUAACGCCGCAAAGCGGGAUGAUUGACGGCUUUGCUUUGGUCAAAGGGAGGUACGAGAUCUGUCAGACUUUGCAGGGAGUCGAGAGUUAUGGCCGUCGUCUCCGACACAGCUCUACUUACAUGACAUCAUAAUCUAUAUUUAGAUCUCGUGGUUGGUUGGAUUUGGGGGUAGCGAAGGGUUUUUAUGGACUAUAGUUGUUCCCGCUUCCUCCCAUGGCCGCCACCUACUAGUUUCUAUUUCCACGUACGUACAUGCAAGUUUAAUUUCCUAUGAAGAAACUAAUACUAAUCGAACCAAUGGAUACUGAUGAAUAUUUAUUAGUCCUGUAAAUACUGAAUCAUAUGAUUAUUAAUGUUUUCUAAAUUAUUCUAUUAUAAUAUCAAGUUUUACAUGUUUGAUAUACUAUUGGUAUAAUUAUUAUGAUAUGUUGCCUAAAAUAAUAGUAUGACUUUUCUAAUCAAAUUCUAAUUAUAUAUAUAUAUAUAUAUAUAUAUAUAUAUAUAUAUAGUGGAUUAAUUCAACGGAGAUUAGAAGGCUCUGUGCUAAUAUAAUUCCUAAGACAAUAGAGAGGAUGAGACGUAAUACUAUAUUAGGAAUGAUAAUGCCUAGAUAAGAAAUUAAAAUAGGGAAGAGGAAAAUAUAAAGAAUGCCUUAAGAUGGAGUCUUCUAAAUGUUGUAUUCAAAGUUUGUUGAAUAAAAACUGUGGGGAAAAAAAAGAAAAUUCGCAUUAACUAUUAUGAAUAAUAGCAUACCAAAAAAUAUCUUGAAUGUUGUGGCACAAUCAAAGUAAAUAAAUGAUAAUUUAGUCCUUUUUAUUUUGAAAAUUAUCAUGUAUAUUUCUUAAUAUUAUGCCAUAACUGAUAGAAUAUUAUUUGACAGCUUAAAAGAAAAUGUUCAUGACACCAGAAAAGUUCGCUGAGAUGUGAAAAGCAAGUGACUAAUCUUGAAGAUAGGAAAGAGUAGUUACCAUUGAUUGAUGUGCCCUAAAUUAUGCAGCGAGUGAAUGAAUUGAGGAAUAGCUUUAAGUUCCAAUGAAUCAAGUGGAGAUGGUGUUUCCUAACCAUAAUAAUUGAUAACUCUUUCCUGCAGAGAAUAAUCACAUUUUUAGAUUAUUUGAUGGUAAUCACAAUAAUAAAUUGUUUCAUUCUACGAUCAUCAAUCAUAAUAAUGUAUCAUGUUUCAUUUUGCAGAAACAAUUUGUCAUACGAAAGUAAGCCACUGAGAAAGAAACGUAAUCGGAAGGUUAAAGAUUAUAUAUAGGUUUCUCAUUCGCAGUAACAAAGAAGAAAAAAAGGAUUAUUUUGCUGAUAAUAGUCUUACAAGGAUCGACCUUCACUCCUCUCCACUUCCCAAGCCAUCUUCACAUCACUUGCACUUUUGUUCUUACUGAUAGCUGUGCCCGCCAAAGAGAAUGAUUUGAAGAAGCUUUACGGAAGUUGACGUUGGUCCUGCGAGCAAACCUCUCUUCUCUAAGGAGUCAUCGACCAUUCCCUAAAAUGAAGUCAAGCUGGACAAUUACAGCCAUGCAACUUUGUUCUUACUGAUGUCUGUGCCUUUGAAAGAGAAUGAUUGGAAGAUGCUUUACAGAAGUUGCUGCUGGUCCUGUCAGCCAACCAUUCUUCUACGAGUAGACAUCAGCCAUCCUCUAAACUGAAGUCAAGAUGGACACCUACAGUUCUCAGUUCAGUAGCCAUUUGUGUCUUUUUCUUGGCUUUCCUUUUGCAGAUGGGAUUGGAAUUCGGUCAUAGGAUAAAGAGAUGAGUCAACAUGGACAGUAAUGCUUGUGGAAGUGUGUGGAUAAAAAGGGUGUCGGAGCAGAAGGCCCCUUCCUCCCCCCGUUUGAUAUGAGUCAGACUCUGUUGGCAUCCACGCCGGCAGAGAUGGUCAGAAUCGCGGCACUCUCUCGCUUGGAAUCAGGUUCAAUGAUUGGCCUUAGAUAGGCUGAUGCUUUAGAACAAGGCUGCCUUGUUCUCAUGGGUUUACUGACAUGUGAAUAAAUUAAAAUAAAAUAUUAAAAAUUAAUAAAUAUUUUAAAUUUAUUAUAAAAUAUCUUAAUAGAAAUGAUAAAAGAUCAAUAAAUAUUUUAUUAUAAGUUUACCUAAUACCAACAAAAGAUAUGAUAAAAUUUGGGUUACCAUGAUUAAAUUGACUAAGACAAUAUAUUUUUUACUUAUUUAUAUUAAUUAUUUUAUUGAUCAAUUUACUUUAUUUAUAUCUAAGAGAUAAUUAGACUUAGAGACAAAGUUAAUUUUUACCGUUACUUUUUAUUCUCAAAUAGAUAGUUAGUUAAAAAGAAUAGUUCAGAUAUUAUUAGAGGAUAUGCUAAGAGUUUAUGUUACGAGGGAUCGUGCGGUAAAUAUUUAUCUUUGAGAUAAUUUAUUUAUAAUAAUAGUUAUCAAGUAACCAUUAAGAUAGUAUCAUUUUUUUUUAGUAAGUAGCACUAUUUGAAAUACUAUAUAGUACAUAUCACUUGUUCAUUAGGAUGAGAUAAAGUGAAAGAAAAUAUUUAUGAUCGGAUUUGAUAAGAGAAACAAUGAAAAUAAUAGAAAAUAUUCGAUAAAAAUAAUGAAAACAAUAGAAAAUAUUUGAUAAAAGUUGUACAAAACAAAUAGAAAUAUUAUAUCGAUAAUAGGAGGAGACUUUCGAUACUAAGCCAUUGCUAUCAUCAUUGUAAAACUUAAUUGAAUCACCAAUAAUAGGAGGAGACUUUCGAUACUAAGCCAUUGCUAUCAUCAUUGUAAAACUUAAUUGAAUCACCAAUAUGUUACGCAAAAUUAGCAUCAUCUCUGCUUUAAUAAUAUAUUAUAAUAAUAUCCGUGUCAUUUAUGAAUGCUUCAACAUUAUAUUAUACUCUUAAAUGAAAUAUAUUAUCAUAGAUUUUUAGAUGUCAAUUAUAUGUUUUUCAUAUCCAUGUUUAUGAUUAAUUAGUUAACUCCCUUACAAAAUCACUUGCGAAUUACAAUGUUCCAAGAUUAACAUCCUCAAUGGAAGUUCUAUAAUAUGAUAAAGACAAUAUGAAAUUAUAACUUUAUGUUCUUACAUAUUAUGAUCCUCAAUUAAUUUAUGAUUUAAAAAUAUAUGCUACAUCAAAUCAUCAAGUCUUCUCAACAAAAUUUGCAAUUAUUACCAAAAAAUUAAAAAAAAUAUUAUUUUUUUUUCAAAAAUAAUUACUCCAAACAUAAAAGAACCUGAGUUAAAUAGAGUCACUUCAAGCUAAGCAUCAACUCCAACUAAUAAAUACUAAUUAAGAUAACUUUAUUGCGACACUUAUAAGUUUAGUUCUAUAUUAGUGUGAGAAGACUUAGAUUGAUUAAUACAAACUUAAUAGAUGUAUAAUCAUUAACAACCAUGUCAUCACAAAUGGCAUCAUAAUUGAUUCGAUAUGGAAUAUAAUGAGACGCUAAGUAGGAAAGAGAUGUAAAAAAAUAUAUACCUAGUUGAUGUCUUUAUUUCUUUUAAUCUUUAACAAUAUGACAAAAAAAAUAUUAUCCUCAUUUACAUAGCAUACCAUGCAAUAUACCAAUUAUGCAACUUAUUGGAGGGUGCAAUACAUUCAAUGGAUCCUUGAAGAAAUUAUAACUCCAAAAUUUAAUGUCAAAACCCAUAGCCGCAAUCAAAUACCUAUCAAUCAUACAACAAUAUGCUAUGCUAAUUAACCGUCGGAUAUCUCAACAAGAUGCUUCCCUUGAACAAGAUAAAGUGACAUUUUUGUCUUUGAAGAUGAUGUCCAUGAAGAACACUUCAAACAAUUCUGAUGUAGCUAUAUGAUUCAUGGCUCAGACUAUUGAUUGAAAUUGGUGAAUAUUUUAUCAUGUCUAGGAUAUGGAAUACCCUAAUAAACAUGAUCAUUAUGGUCUCUUCUGUGAUUGUGCUCUCUUUCCCGUUAUCUUCUUAGCUGGAUUCAUAUAUUUUCUCCCACCAAAUCAUUGUAAACUCAGCCAUGGAUAUCCUCUUCACUCAUAAACUAUUUGUAUUUAAUAAUGCUUUUGUUCAUCCCAUGACAUCAUAAUCAUAAUAGCUGUUAAGAUUCUUACAACUAUGUCUAGGACAUAGUUUUAUCAUUAGUUUAAUAUUUCUUCUAAGUUACUCCAUAUGAGUUCAAAGAUUUUUUCUGGGCAAAGGGUAAGUAGUAAAAUUGGAUUCAAGACUUUGUUAUCAAUAUGUUUAUCAUCUAAACCAAUUGAUAUUUUUAAAAUUUAUUAAAUUUGAUGUUGAACUUUUUAUUCUUGAUAAGUGAGUAAACUAUUAUCAUAUCAUAUCAAUCAGUAUAUUAGGUAUAAAAUUUAUUAGAUGAGUUUCGAAUCCUCUAUAUUUAGUUAGUGGAUAUGAUACACUACCACCAAAUUAAUAUUUUAGAUGUUAAAGUUUGUCAGAUGAAAUUUAAAGCUCUCAAUGGAAUCUAGUAUAUAUCAUUGCAGAAUUAAUAUUAUAUAUACAAUUUAACCAAUGCUUUUAAUCUUGAUAAAUGGAUCUGACACAUGACAACCAAUACCUUUUAGGUGUAAAAAUUUAUUAGAUGAUAUUUUGAAUUUACAGUGUUAGUAAGUGACAAUCUAUUUAGUUAAUUUUAACUAUAUGCAUAGAAAACUCUACUACAAAUUAGUUAAUUUUGACAAUCUACAAAUGGUUUGCAGGAAUAAUACUGCAAUCGAGGAACAAUAAUUCCCAGACAACAAGCAAUAAUUAUAGUGUUUUCUGGGACAGGAUGUCAUUAUUUUUAGGUCAACCUUAUUCAACUCAGCACAAGCACUGCAAAUAAAUAUACUCUUCUAGAGGACAUGUAUGCAAUUGAAAAGACAAAUCUAAAAUUAAACAAUUAUAUAGUGUAUAUAUAUCAAGAAAUCCAAAUCUGUUAUCACCACUAUGUGUACUAAAAUUGGUUCCAUUGCAAAAUUAUUAUUAUUAUUUAAUUCUGAGGUGUACAACUAAUAAAUCAAUGUCAUUUAUAUCUAAAAUAUUACUUGACUGGCUUUUAAUGACUUCUUCUAUAAAUCUUUUAGAGAUGCCUAUUAAUUUGGCUAGUAAAAACUUUUUCAGGUCAUUCCAAAUUCUUUGGAUCAGAUUUAUCUUUAUUAUUAUUUAUUUAUUUAUUUAUAAACAAAUAAAACUAGAACCUCUCACAAGAGAAGUUGUAAGCCCAAAAAAUAUUUAUUGCAAAAUAAACAAACACUUUCAUGGAGUGGUAAUAAUCUCAAGUCAAAACUAAUUAUAAAUCCCCAAUUUGUCAUUCCUCGAAGCUUCAGUAGACUUGACCAAGAACAGUGGGAUGCCCACUCUCCAUUGGCCCUAAGCCUCCAGUCCCAACCUUGGGAUCCUUAUCCCCCCCAAUAAUGUCUUGUUUCCCUCUGCUUCACUCCUCGAUCUUCUUUUGGGUGUAAUAAUAAUGUCAUAUUUGAAUAGACUCACUUUGUUAAAAAUAAUAAUAAUAAUGAAUAUUAUUAUUAAUUUAAUGUUUUACGCAUUACAAUUUAUGUGUGAAUCGAACGGCUCGUAUCUUUCCAUAAAUANNNNNNNNNNNNNNNNNNNNGACUUUCACCGGACCAAACUGAGGCCGAGAUGGUGGAUCGCUCGCCACCGCCGCCGUCGCUGCUGUGAUCCGUCGUCGGGUCGAGUGCCUUCGCCGGCUCCUCCUCCUCCUCCGGUGCCACCGCCUCCGCCGCCGUAUGAUGUUCGUCAGAGGGCCCUCGCGGAAGCGGCGGUCGGGGGCGGUCCCCGUCUACCUCAAUGUCUACGACCUCACCCCCAUCAACGGCUACGCUUACUGGCUCGGUCUCGGCGUCUACCACUCCGGCGUCCAAGGUGAGCUCCGAUCCGCGCACGACGGCCCCGAUUCGGGUGAUAGCGGUGAUCGGGAUGGGUCUUCUUUAGGGUUUGGCUAAGCUAUUUGUGCUGGCAGCGCACGGGGUGGAGUACGCUUACGGGGCCCACGAGCACCCGACGACGGGGAUCUUCGAGGGGGAGCCGCGGCAGUGCCCAGGGUUUACAUUCCGCAAGUCGAUCCUGAUCGGGCGCACCGAUCUGGGGCCGCGGGAGGUGCGGGCGCUCAUGGAGGAGAUGGCCGCGGAGUACACCGGCGACACCUACAACCUCGUCUCCAAGAACUGCAACCACUUCUGCGACGAGGCCUGCCUCCGCCUCACCGGCAAGCCCAUCCCCAAGUGGGUCAACCGCCUCGCCAAAAUCGGUAUUCCCCUUCCCCUCAACCCCCAAAUCCCCGCUUUCUCCUCCCCAAAGAUUCGACUUUUACGGUGGUAUCCCGACGGGCGCCAGGAUACCUGUGCAACUGCGUGCUGCCGGUGCAGGUGGCGUCGGUGAGGCAACGAGCGACGGACGAGGGGAAGAGCGGCUCCCGAGGCGGCGGCGUCGAGAAUGAGAGGAGGACGCUGAGGAGCAAUUCCACCACCAACUCAUUCGCCACCUCCGCCGCUUCUUCUUCCGACGACCCUCCCACUAGAAUCUCUCAGCCUGUGGUCACCAUCUCCUCUCGCUCCGCGGCGAGUAGGAGCCGCCGCCCUUCCUCCUCCGGAGGAGGAAUCUCCUCCACCUUGACGGUCUAACCUCGGCCACCGCCUCGCCGAGGGUGAAGGUCACUUUACAUACAUACUUGUUUUCUUGUGCCAUGUGUCAGUAGAGCACCGAGAGAGCACGGAAAGUGCUGUUCGAGGGCAAGCAACGGAUCCGGUGUUGGCCAUCCUCGUGCGCGGGGGGUGUGCUUUGUUUCCUCCGUAUGUAUCAGAAGCCACUGAUGGUGAUCGGACGGCUGUAAAGCAAGUGAUGGAAACCCGCCACACGUGCGAGUCGAGAUGGCCGUCCUUCUCCUAGCAUCAUCUUGAGCCUUUCCUUCCUCGUGCCCAUCAUGAUGGUGGGAGUUUUGUGCGUGUUCUUUUGAGAGAGCUGUCCUCAUCGAUGUGGGUUUGGGGGAAAGCGUAGAUAGUGGUGGUGGGGAUGGAACUCUUCCAUGGAUAUAUCAUAUCAUCCAUGACACUAAUCAUUCUAACAGUUAUCAAGAAUAAGAUUAUUAUAGUUGGAAUCUGUAUGAUUUGGCAACAUAAAAAAGCCAAGGAAAUACAUUUGGUGGGAUAUUGGUAAAGCAGAUUUAUAAAACAUUUAUAGAUAUUAUAAGAGAGGAGAUUAUGUAUCUUUUUAUGUAGCAUUCUUGUGCAAAACUUCAUCAUUUUCCUCUUUUGCAACAUAACAAGUUAAAACAUAGCUCGACUACCAUAUUUGCUUCCUCAAUUUUCUUGGCUGUCUCAAUUUUGUUUCUGUUCAAGGGAGAAAUGGAAAAAAAAAAGACAGCUUGCAAGCAAUGGAUUGUUUUGCAGGUAUGUGAGAAGAGUGAUACAGGUUAUCAUCCUUUUUGGUCCGAGGACAGAUCCAAGUCAGAAAGAGUGAAUGGAGCCUAAUCCAUGUUCAUCAUUCUGCUGCAGAAUGGAGUUACACCAACCUGAGUGGGCUGGUUUUAGUGGUCCGCAGAACAGAUUAGGGGGUGGCACAUGGCUCUGUUUCAGGUUUUAUUGCUGACCUAAUUCAAUACGAAGGACUCCUCUCUCUCUCUUCUUUUCUUUAGGACUUGGUUGAUUUGUCUGCUUCAGAACAUCCAAUAGAUGGCUCAGAACAGCCUGUCAGAAAGCCUUUGCAAGGGGGAAAGUGGUCAAUCCUUUCUCUGUAGGUAAUCUCCAAAGCAAUUCAGGUUUUCGAUAGCCCUGCUUCUUGCCUGCUCACAUAAAUAGCUCCGCUACCCAUAUUUCCAAAUUAUCUACGACUGUCAGGAUUUAUAUGUUUUCAGUCAAAAUGGAGGAUUGUGCCAUUUUUUGUUUGACCCCUCCAUCAAAACUUUAAUGUUCUCAAAAGCUCCCAUUCCUCAAGAAACAAAUAUCCUCUUAAUCCUCGGACACCCAUGCAAACUAGUUGUAUGAAUCUUCCUUGUGAAGAAUACCUCAAUUCUAACUGCUAGAAUUCUACGUCAAAUCUGUUUGUGAGAUGAAUCUAGGAAAGCAGAACCAGGUAUUCAUUCCUCUGAAGCCAUUACUUGGAUUCUACCAGUUGGAAAUACUGGAACGAGCAAGUGUUACAGGAGUUGGCCACCGAGCUCCACAUAGAUGUGUUGUGUCCGAUGCUUCUCUAGAUAACUCGACACCACCUCUUUGUGGUUACUCUCUUUCACAAACCAGUUGCCCUCUGUUCGUUGCUCCCUUUAUCCGCCUGUGUUCACUUCGGGUUGAUGACCUUCAGUAGACACAAUUCUUUUCGUGUGAUGAUCACAUCAUUGAUUUCUCCCAAGUGUUCUGUUGCUUGUGGUGACUCCCUUAGCUUUUUUUUUCUUAUCUCUAGUUAGAAAGAAAAGCUUUUGGGUGGCACUUGGCUUUCUGUAAUCCAACUCAUUCCCUUGGGGAGGUACAACGUAUGGAUUCUAAUACGAGACAAGAAUUGACACCAUAUCAUGGAAGAAGAAGAAGAUGUGAUCUGUUCCGUUGCACGUACUCCACUACUUCAGGGCUUUUACCAUGAUCAUGCUAUCUUUUUCUGCCGGAGUCUUCGUUCUUGGAAAUGACAAAGUGAUGUGAUGCUGAAAAAUGACACUCGCUUCAGGUGACGCUGCCUAUUUCAGAUGCUCUGCAUUUGGCUGGUAGUGACGCUGCCACAGCUUACUACCUUGUGAGUGCAUUCACUGCAUUCUUCAAAACAAGUUCUACCAAAUGAUAGAAAAUAAAGGAAAGAUCAAAGAAAAAAAUAAACUGACAGUUCAACAGGAUGCAUUCAGUGACAUAUUUGAAGAUUUCCAAAAUGCAGGUAUCGAUAUGGAAUAGUCACAUUUAUGCCCAACUAAGGAUCAUAAUAUUUUAAGGAUGGUAAUAUGUACCCUAGAGAUUAUCCAAGCUCACCAAUGAAGACAACAACAACAAGGUUGUAUGCAGGUUCCAAUUUUACUUAAAUUCAUCUUUGGAAAGAAUGAGCUUCUAGUGGAGUGUCAGGGUUGACAAGUAUUUUAAAAAUAAAUUUAUUUGGAGGAUAAAAAAUUUAAAUUUUAUGAAAAGAAAUUUUUGUGAAUCGGAGUUUAGUUGUCUUGUAAAUAGCUAAUAUAUCUCAACGUCUUAAUAAGAAUGAGACAUCAUGAUAAAAAUACCCUAGGUGGUGAUAGUUUUAUAUUGAUAUUUUUGAGCUUUUAUUUAUCAGAUUAUUUUGAUGUCUUCUCUCCCCAUUAAAUAAAACUCUUCAUUCACCCCUAAAUAGUUGUAAGGAGAUUCGUCGGCUUGAUCAAAGUUGAUGCAUCAUAGAGAUUUGAACCUAAAGUAUCAAGGUACCGACAUACUCGAUGAGAUUCACAAGUUAGAAUUGAUCAAACAUAGAUAAAUAAAUGGUUAAUUUUAGUUUUUCAAAAUGUAUUUCUCUUUUUGUGAUAUUUUUUAUCCUCGUCAUAUGAUAUUAAGAAAUAUCAUAACAAAGUCUCCGCUCUCAGAAAAUAUAUUCUUGUAGAGGUUUGUCAUUCACUACAAGGAGGAAUUCCAGAGCUCAUUGAGUUGUAUAAUGAAAGCUUCAGGAGCAGUGAUGCUUUAAAUUUGGUCACAUAUUUUUCAUAAAUAGAUGGAUUUUAAUGGUGCUAUGUAAUUUUGGAUCUGCAAUGCCAAUACAUAGAUGAAUUAGCUGUGUCAUCUUUUUCCCAAAUACGAACAACAAAAGGAAAUGGUAAUUCCCGGUUCCUGCAAUUCUUUGUAGCAGAUGCCGACUUCUCUCUGUUUUUUCCUAUCAGUUUCAACAAAACAAAAGUAUCAUGACAGAAAGAGAAAAACAAGAGCUGGAGGUGGAGAGGUUUGGGAACAUGAUAUUAAUAAAAGAGGAUCAUGCACCUUUUUAUGGCUUGUUAAUCUUUUGUUGAAAUGUAUUUGUAAGAGGUAGGUAGUAGAUAAGAAGAGGUUGUAGGGAUUUCUUGUAAGAAAAUGACUCUUAAUGCUUGUUGAUUUUUAAGUCAACAAAUCAGCUUGUAAAGUCAUCAGCAAACAGCAUCAACUUGUGCUUCUGUCUUGCUUCAGAACCUGUUGUUACUCGAGGAAAACCAUUCUUUUCCAUCGUCAAUCAUACUUGUGCCAAGGAAAACUGGUAGCUCAGACUAACUUUUUGCUCGUGUCAAUCGAUCCUGCUGCCUAAGUGCAAGAAUUCCGGCAUCUUGAUACUGAAUUUGCUCCAUUUUUUUUUUUUUUUGUUUUCUUCUAUUUCCAUUCUUUGGGUUGUAGACUUUGUGCUCUAAUUUUGAGUUGUAUUUCCUAUAGUCUGAAAAGCUAUUGCUCUUCUUCGUUCAUAAUCAGCCAUAUUUUUGCUCCUUUGGCUUUCAGAAUCUGGUUGGAGCAAGCAAGUUCUUUUAUGGAUGUCAUCUUUGGCAUGGAUUGACGACCUCCAAGUAGAAGCUUUCCUCUGAUCAGAUCACCAGGCCUACUCAAUCGUGGUCCUCGAUGAACAUGAGAUAAAAGUAACUUGGCCUGCUUACAAAGUACAAGCUUCCAAGUGCAAGCUUCCUCUUGGUAACUCUAACAUAGACUGGAGUAGCUUUUAGAGGCUACCAGCUACUCCUAGAGUCCGUAACUUUCUGCUUAAAACUUCAUAGAACACUUUUUCUCAUUUCGGACAGACUUGCUGCUUUAAAUAUUUCCCUAGUUCAUCAAUUUUGGUGCUGCAGAAUAUGAGACUGAAUCCAUCCAUAAUAGAUCGUAUCUUCUUUUCUUGUCAAUUUGCUUGAGAGUUUUGGAACUACUUUCAGAUCUAUUUGAAUGAACUUUCCACCUAAUCUAAUCGAAUGAUUGGCUUAAAGAAGAGCUUUUCGUCUAUGGCAAAUGCAUUCAUUAAUCAUUAAUCACUAUGGCAUGCCUGAAAUCAUACUCGCUCUAAGCUUAAAAGCCUCCUCUUCAAAGUAUUAGCAUAUGCUGCUUCUUACUUAUUAGAUGCUAAUAUGUUUUGAAUGGAAACCACCCAAUUAUAACUGGUUUAAGCUGAAGAUUGAUACAUCUUCUUGGUCUACUGAUCAUGCAUAUGGUAUUACUCUUCAUUAUUCUAUUGAAAGCUGUGUAAUUGUAGAUGCUGAAUGUAUUUUUGAUAGUAGUGAUGUUGGGGUUAUGACGAAAUUUUAAUUUCAUUGGAGCUUUAAAAUAUUUUUAUUUAGAUAGAUUACAAAUCAUAUCGGUUUUUCUUGUUAUGAUUUAAACAAAGUUGAAGGUUUAUUUAGCGACAAAUUUAUAUAUCUUAUUAUGAUGAUGGAUUGUGGUCUGAAAUCCAUCUAAUUAAUUUGUAUGCAUAAAUAUUUUAUCUAAUGAUUUUAUACAUCUAAAAAAAAAAUUGGUCUAAUAAUUUAAUCUAAAAUAUUCUAUCCAAUUUAUUGAGAAUAUUAACUUCGAUCUGCGAAUUCUCUCUCUACCGCUAGCUCUUAGGGUUUCGAGGUGUUUUGCUUUUUAGGCGCAGUCGGUGACGGUUUUGGUGAAUACGGUGUUGGUGACGGUUUGUGUCUUCGGACAAGAAGAGGAGACCGAUGAAGAGGUCACCGGCAUCCUCUCUCUUCUCCAAAACCCUCUACUUCAUCUAUCGCCCUCGUCCCGCCGAUGCUCUACUUUCCUCCUCCUCCUCUGACUCCGUCGCCGCUACCGGAAGCGGAGCUCUUCAGCCCAGCUUCAUGUCCGAAUACCUCGUCACGUCAUGUGGCUUCUCCCCGGAGAAGGCGACCAAGGCCUCGAAUCUCCUCGGCGGCAUCGCGUCCCGCCGGCAGCCCGACUCCGUCCUUGGCUUUCUCAAAAGCCACGGUUUCGACGACACCCAUGUGAAAGAGCUGCUGUCUGGGAACCCCCGGUGGCUUCUCCUCGACGUGGAGAAGACCCUGGCCGCCAAGUUCCGAGCUCUCCAGGAGUUAGGCUUCUCACAGUCCGACAUCACCCAACUCGUCCUGACCAAUCCCUCCGCAAUCAACUACCACAUCCGCACCGUCGUGCACAGGAUCCGGUUUUGGCAGGGACUCAUCGGAUCCAACGACCUCCUCAUAAAGCUCUGUAAUCACCACCAGUGGCUUCUCGGGUAUAGCGUCGAGAAGAGGAUCCAGCCAAACAUCGAUAUGCUACGGAGCUGUGGAUUCACGGAUCAAAAGCUUAGAACGAUCCUGGGGUACCACCCCACGUUGGUAACCCAGAGGGCGGAAACCUUGAGGACCUUGAUCAGUCGUGUCGAGGGAUUCGGAGUAGCCCGCACCUCGCCGAGGUUCCACUUGACUCUGUGGAUGCUCUCCAAUGUUAGCGUGGAGAGAUUCAAUGCGCAAAAGAAGCUAUUCGGGGCCUUCGGGUGGUCAGAGGCCGACUUCCUCGACGCAUUCAAAAAGACUCCUGGUUUCUUGACAAGUUCCUUGAAGAAUCUGAAGAUGAAAAUGGAAUUCUUGGUGAAUGAGGCUGGAUAUGCUCCGUCUUAUAUCGCCCUCCGGCCUGUGCUUUUGACAUAUAGUUUAGAGAAAAGGGUGAUCCCAAGAUAUCAGCUCAUGGCAGCCCUGAAGUCCAGGGGGCUGUGCGCUGGUCAUCCCAAAUUGUUCACAUAUAUCUCGUGUUCAGAGAAGAAGUUCUUGGAAAGGUAUGUCAUCAUCUACAAGAAGCAGUUUCCGGAGCUCAUUGAAUUGUACAGUGCGAGAAAAUAGUAGUUCUGGAUUUGCUAGCUGUAGAUUUUGGUUCCUGCAAUCCAUGGUUUCAGGUUCCAGCCUUUUACCCUCUGCUUAACUUGAUCUGCAGUUUGAGACUUAUUAGUAUUAUGAUUUAUGUCAUUUGCUUCCUUUUUUUCUGGUGCAUUAAGAGGAAUGUAGCUGCAUACAUGUAGAAAGAAAGGAAAGCAAUAUGAAGUGGAACACAAUGACUUCUUGUAGCAUGUUGAUUCGGUCAAUUGUUUCCUGAUAAUUACCUGCAUAGGAAAAAUUAGAUACUGUAGGAAUUUGUAGGAAUUGAGACUGUUGUCCCAUUCUUUUUUUUUAACCUACUUCUGGGAACACAUUUGGCAGACGUGUGUGCUUGUGUGUGUGUGUCGUGGUGACUAUGAAACUGAAACAAAUUCUUUGUUUGAUCUAUGGCUCUCCUUGAUGUGCAUUGAAGUAGAUGCUUUGCUUAUGUUGUAGCUGAUAUCAUUAUGUUAUCAUGAAGAAUUUUGAGAUGAUGGUUUCAAAGGUCACAUUACUAUUACACUAUGGAGUUAUGGUUGCAUCGUUUUUUUCUCCUUUGAUGAAAAAUUGGUGCUUUUGAUCGAUUUUGACAUGAUACGUCGAAUCUGCAUGGAUGUUGUCUAAGAUUGAUCUAAUUUUGGUCGGUUUCUCAGCUGAAUCAGCUAGAAUCCGUUGAAAAUACUUGAGUUUAUUGAUUUUUGGGUGAAUUUUACACUACUUGAUGACCUCAAACUCAAAGGGAAGAAAAAAGAGGACGGAAGGAGAAGAAGAAAGAAAAGAGGAAAGUUGAGAUGGUGAAACGAUAAAAGAAAAAAGAGAAAACUGUGAUUGUGAUUCUAAAUCAGAGGAGGGAACAUUGCUUUUGCUUUGCUUGCUAUUCACUGCAUCCAUCCACUGCAUUUGUUGUUUGCUACUACAUCCAUCGGGUAGAAUAGAUGGAGGAUUACAGGCAAAAGGAAGAGGACAGAAGUAACCCAUAACCUAAUAUGAACUGUGCCUGCUCCUUAUAUUUAUUAAGUUUUAGCCAAUGAUUUUGAGACUUUGGAAAAUUGUGAACUAGUGAUUGCAUAGUGUCCAUAAUCAUGUAUACAUUGCAGAAGCACUUCUUAUUGUUUCGUCAGCAUCAGUAUAGAAUAGGCAGCAUGUUUGGUUGGUGCAAUCCGAUCAAUAAAAGAAAAUAUUUCACAGGUUUGUGGCUUGUGUUCGUGAGCCCUCUUCCCCUUACAUGCAAGCAUGAACGAUUGUUGUUGUCCGCUGUCCAUUGCUCUGUCAUUGAUUUCAGGUAUGCUUCCUCCACCUCUUCCUUCUGCUUCAUCCUCAUCCUCCACUAUUUACUCCUUUCUUCGUUUAACUCCUUACUCUUCCUUUUUUUUUUUGUCUUUCUCGAUGGUCUCAUCUUCUUUCUUCCUCUUUCUCCUCCCUACUCUUAAUACAUGGCUUUCUCUUUUUCUUCGUCCGCCUUCCUCUUUCUUCAUCCACUUUCAUUUGAUUCUUCCUUUUCGAGGCUUCAGAACAUACCGGUACAUAAUGUGUCAGUAUAUUGGUAUCUCAAUCUAUGGAUUGGUACGUAGCGGUCUGGGCAGAGACAGAUAAGUUACUAAUCAGUAAGAGACUAUAAACGCUGGUGCACUGCAAGCUUCAGUCGUACAAGUGCUCGACAACUUGGAAGAGUUUUCAUUUGCUGCUCAGUAUCUGCUACAAAGCUCUUCUAUCGUUAGCGGUGGAAGGUAAGUUUGUGUAUGUUAACACUACCCUGUAUACCACUGAAAAGUGCAUUUUACACAGAAUUAUGUUGUAUUGACGUUUUGGGGGAAAUUUUAGUUUAAAAUUUGCUGAAUUUGGCUCUUAUAAAAUGCAUUAACAGUUAAAAAAUGACAGCAUGAGUUGAUGAUUGCAUAGAUGUGAGCAAUAAGAUGCUAAAAUGGAUCCUAAUUCUACCUAAUAACUGGAUCAAAAUGAAAGUUUCAAUUAACCGGAUUAAUUCGUUGAUUAAAAUGAUCUAAAAAUUGUAUCCAAAUGGACGAAAUCGAUGAACCUUCUUAUCCUUCCAUGAAAAGAUAAUCCUCAAGGGGCAAAUGCAAGAUCGAAUCCGAUCAUACAACACCAUACAACACAUGAACCCUAAUCCUCAUGGAACGAGAUGGGUUAAACAAUGUGGACCUGGUUAGAAUUAAAUAUUUAUCCUAAUUUUAAUAACUAUUUAUAUAUAUUAUAUUUUGCAAUACCAACUGGAUCCGUGGCGCAAUGGUAGCGCGUCUGACUCCAGAUCAGAAGGUUGCGUGUUCGAUUCACGUCGGGUUCAACUUUACAAUAUUUUCACAUUUCGUUUUUGUUCCACUUGUGAUUGGAGCACUGAACGGCCCCACAAGUGGACCCCAUCCGAUUCUUACGCUCCUUUUCAAAUUUUCGAUUUCCUUUUUCUAUACCUUGUGAUUGGAUUACGGGACGGACCCACUAGUGGACCCCAUCGAUCAUAGCUCCCUUUCCUUGUGUGAGAAAUACAUUUAUAAAACACUAAUUUUAGCCUAAUUUCAAUCUAUCGAGAUGUCAAAAUAUCAGUAAAAAAGGAAGAAAAUUAGCUGAUAAAUGAACACAUGAAUAAAUUUGUGGCACAAAAUCUAGGUUCGAACAAUUACAUACAAUACGGUUUUAAAAAAUAACAUUAAUCUAAAUAUACACAAAUAUAUAUAUAUAUAUAUAUAUAUAUAUAUAUAUACCUCAUCCAAAUCCCCUUUCUUCCUGUCCCCAUUCUCCGUCCGCGAUACAUCGUCGUCGCUUUCCUUCGACAAAUGCGAAGAGAAGACAAAGAUUUGGAAUUCAACCGCUGGCCAAUUCGAAGCCCCAUUUGGUUUGGCUCCCCCCCUUCCGCCUUCCUCCCUUUUCUUGCUCCGAAUUAAAUCUUCUUAUGUGACGUUUGUCGUCUGAAACGACGAUUCUCUUUGGUAGCAUACAUUUGAUUCGUCUACACGAGGAGGAUUGUGGUUUGACUUAAAUGAGUACUGUGGGUUAUCAACUUGUUUUCAUGAUAAAGGGGAAUGACAAAGAAAGCCUGACAAAAUUGCCAACCAUGACAUGAAUCCCAACACAUUAUUAUGUUCCGCUGAAGUUUCAUUGGACUUAGCCUGAUUAAUUCUUUCAUUAAUUUGUUUAAUGCUUAUAAGGAGCAACAUACAGUUAGAUGACGUGUAGAAUGUAUCCAAAUUGUGAAAUUGGAGCUAUAAUUUCUCCCGUUGCACUACACAUUCGAUGACCUAGAAGUGGCAGAAAAUGAAAUAUAACUUUUACAUGGCAGUUUUAAUACUUAGAUGCAAGUGUUGGGAAUCUCAUUAGUUAUUGGAAUCGACAAGAUACUUUAUAUGAUCCACACGUCCGAUAAUAAUAAUGACCAAACACAUUUAUCAACUAGUCAUAAAUGAGAGACUUUUCAGAUAUUUAAAAUUAUUUUAAAUUGUUUUGAUGAUGAAAGAAAGCAUUAAGUAUACUUUUAAAAAAAAAUAAAGGAUUGAUGUUCCUUUUCUGGCCUAUCUAUACCAUUAAGGGAUAGACAUUAAGUUCCAUAAGACAUAGAAUAGAAGACACCAAUUGUUUCUUAAUAAAUUAAUCUAAGGAAUCCACUAUGUGAAUUAAUCAAAGGCUUAUUUUUGGACAACUAUGACUCAAGGUAAGUUUAUUUCGUUGCAUGUCCAUUAUAAAUCCAUUGUUUUGCUUACAACAAGAACAUUUCAAAUCUGUAUGUAUAUGAGUUUUCUGAUCUAUUGUUCUCAAUAUUAUUUUUUAAAACUACAUAGAAAGAAAACAAAAGUGGUGAAUAAAAAUGUAAUAUUUAGAUGGUAAUUUUAACUUUUAGAUACAAGUGCACUUCGAGCCUGUAUGCCUUUGCAUUUAAUAAUUAUUCUUUUUGAAUAUUGUUCUCCGACACUACUUAGAAAGAAAACAUAAGAAGGUGCUACAAAGGUGCAUACACAGACUUCUUGUAUCUGUGCUGCAAGAAGUACUUGUGACACUUGUUCUAUGGCACAAAAUGUGCUGUUGGUUUCUCUGGUACUUGAGUGACACACUAACCUCAGCUCUAGUAGAUCAUGUGUACAAUGUGAUCUUACAUGUUGUUGUUCCUUUUUUCAUUUUUUUUGUAAACUUGUUAUGUCCAAGGUUGUAUUACUCCUUUCUGUUCAAGAACAUGCGAAAAAUGCUGAUUAUUUCAGUGCUUUGACUUUUAUUUCAUGUCUCAACAUGCUUUGUAAUUAAUCUUUGACUAUUUGUUACAUGUGCUGUUGCUUACUGAUGGGGUCAAGGAUUUCAAAUAACGUUUGUGAUUGAAACUGAGGAUUUGAAAUAAUGUUUGUGACUGAAACUGAAUAGAUAGAUUUGUAAGGCAACAGAGAUUCUCUGAUGAACUCUAUCUCAACGAAUUGUCACGGACUUAGCUAGUUUUGCCUAAAUCGUGCGGCACCCUUGCGUGUCCGUCCAUAAAGGUCAGCCUCCCCGAAACCUCCAAUGAUCCCUUAGGACCUACAAAAGAGAAAACGGGUUAAAGAAAGUGCCUCACUCGGGAUCCACAAGCAAAAUAUCAGAAAACACAUCAUAGUCAAUGCAAAUUACAAACAUACUUUACAAGCUCCGAACGGUUGCACAACAAAGGAUUUAAAAUGGUCUACUACAGACCGAAAUCUCCUACAAGUGUCCAUAUGACACAACCUUUAUUUACAAACCUAAAACGACCACCCAAACCCAACUAAAAUGGGGUUGUUAAGCCUUCGACCGUCCUUCUAUAUGCUGUGCAAGGCAUGAACAUACCAAAAGACACAGACAUACGUAAGCAUUACAUCAAACAUCCUGUUUAGAAGUUUGUCCGUGACAUUCUUCCCCACCCAUUCCUUCGACGUCCUCGUCGAAGCCUUUGCGACAUUGCAACUCCUCAUCUUUGCUGAGUCUUCAAUCUAUUGAUCUAGCUGCAAUGCACCUCUUGGCUCCCAGCUACUCUCCGCUACUGUUAUUGAGUAGUUGAAUUUUUGAUCCGCCAUGCUGCUUCAACUCGCUAAUGACUCUGACUCUAGUGUGGGGUUGGCUGAGUUGUGUUGAUUCCUGUUGGUUCCUGCGGAUCCUUCAGAUGAAGGAAAAGACUAUCCUUACUUUGCGCCAGUCUCUCAAAUGACUCAUGCUGCUUGAACUGGGUGGAUGCUUGUUGGAGCUUUGACGAGCAUCGCCUCGCAAAAUUUUGAUGUUUUUAGGUCAUUCCUCCAUAAAAUUUGUCCAUCGACUCUUCUUUCACUUAGUUAUCCCUUCUAAGUAGGUUCGCAUCACUUCGCUUUCGAUUGACAUUUCGUUGGAAAAUAAAGCGGACAAUCUACUCUCAAUAGCACUGAUCACCAUUGAUGAGGAUUUAACAACUAUUGUCUUCCAUUAUCUUCGAAUGGUCUUUGAACCUGUGCAGAACUACUCUGUUGGAUAAAUAAGAGAAUUGGGGUACUCGGUUUCGCCCAUUCUCUUAAGAGUUGAGAAGACAAAGGUUACUUGACUUCACCCGCCUCCUCGAGGGUUGUACUCCAUGUAUCGAGCUGAUUACUGGCCUUCACCUGCUCUUUGCUCAGACUUCUGAAGCACUUGAAGUGUUUGCACUCCUUGCGUUGAGUUAGUUACUGUGAUUCACCAUCUCAAUGUUAUCUUAACUUCUAGAAUGCAGGAAGUUUUCACCCCAACUUGGAGUAAGUCUCUAGUAGUUUUGGUCGCCUCUAGGAUUGUACCGUCUUCUCCAUCAACCUUGUCGCCUACUCCACAGAGUAGCAAAGGUACAGUACCGCGUACUCCACAGAAGUCCUUCACUUUCGGCUAUCUUGAUGAGAAGCUCAUUAACACCGGUCUUACGAAGUUCCCUAGCCUCUACCCUUCAGCCUUGUCUCAGUACUUGGAGUUUGCCUCUACAUUCUCCACCUCCUCGGCCCCUUUCACGACCAAGCGUUCUCCCUCCAUGAGAACAAGGGAUCGAUGACUUCACGGAAGUCCCACUUCUGCGGUACUAUGGCACUGCCAUGCCCAUGGCCCUACUAUCCGUCACCUCAUAUCUGCAUCCCUUUUCUUCAUUAUCAGUAGAUCUGCCUCUGUGGCACUUCUUCGAGGCCACCUCCAUUCUAACCGAUGCUUUGUUUUGGGUAGCUAAGUCCCUUUGGACUCGUCGUCACUUCCUUGCCCCUUUCAACCCCCUACUUCAACACCUCUGUAUACUCCAAGCAGUUCCCCUUGGUCGACGGAAAGACAGACUGCAACUCUCAUGCAUGGCCUCUGCCAUCAUGUUGUAGGGUUUGCACCAAUUCUAUUCUCCUUAGUUUCCUUGGUAGCAACGUUCGCUUACUCGACCUUGUCCUUUGACUUGCCGGGCUCCCUUAAGUGAAUAUGAGCUCUAGAGUAGUCCAACUCUCCAACCGCUCCGAUCAUACCUCUGUAUGAUCAAGUCCCCUCAUGGGACUUCCUGGUACUUGCAUUCGAACUUUUCUUUCGAUGUUACACAACCCCCAUAUGCUGAUAACCAAGGCUUUCAUCCGAUAUAAUAUUCGAUGCAUGCACGGAAGACCCGCCUCUGCGAUACCAUGACAUUCACUCCUUGAAUUCAUAGCCUUUCUUACCACCGUGUUGUUCAUCGAAGUGGAACUCCCAGUAGCUCCCGAUCAUUCCUCCGUAUGAUAUAGUCCCUUACGGGAUUAUAUUCGUGUGUAUCGCAUUGCCACGAACUGUUCCACCACGAUCCGUUGCACCAUGUCGCCUUUUGGUGACAUCUCCAUUGCAUUCUGAUCCUUGUGGGAUGAACUCGGAUUGUGAUCCCUUCAUGUGUGACCUCUGCCAAUACAUCGUAGGGCCUCUUCAACUUUCAAUUUGUGUUCGCUCCUUUGGCAAUCAGUCUUUGUCCACUCGCUCUCGGGUCACACCUAGAUGAAGCACCACUCUAGGACAAUCUGUCACCUAGUAGCUCUCGAAGUCCACCGACUUCGCUGAAAUUGGUGCACUAUUGUCUAGAUCCUGGGUCUUUGAGCACCAUCAAGUAUGGUUGCCAACGUUGAGUCGUAGCUCAAACUCAGCCAUCCUAACCUUUGUGCGCUACGCAUUCUUUUCAACUUGCUUGUCCUCGUGGUGCCUCUUGCGCGAAGGGUUGGCCAUUCCUCUAAAUGCCACUCUCAGAUGCCCGCUCCUCUGAACGACUCCUUUUCCCUACAUCUUCAUGCCCGUUCUCCCCAAAACGGUCGCGCGUGCUGGCUGCCCUCAAUGCAGCCCCGCUAGGUCCCCCACGUUUGCAUGCCAAGUAUUUCUAUGAGUGCUUGUCUCGCUCUGAUACCAUCUGUCAUGGACUUAGUUGGUUUUGCCUAAGUCGUACGGCACCCUUACGUGUCCGUCCGCAAAGGUUAGCCUCCCUGAAACCUCUCAUGGUCUCUUAGGACCUACAAAAGAUAAAACGAGUUAGAGAAAGCGCCUCACUCGGGAUCCACAAGCAAACAUCUCAGAAAACACAUCAUAGCCAAUGCAAAUUACAAACAUACUUUACAAGCUCCGAACCGUUGCACAACAAAGGAUCCAAAAUUGUCCAUUACAAAUCGAAAUCUCUCACAAGUGUCCACAUAACAUAACCUUUAUUUACAAGCCUAAAACAACCAUCUAAACCCAACUAAAAUGAGAUUGUUAAGCCUUUGACCGUCCCUCUAUAUGCUUUGCAGGGUAUGAAUAUACCAAAAGAUACGGACAUACAUAAGCAUUACAUCAAACAUCCUAUUUAGAAGUUUGUCCGUGACAGAAUGGCUGUUAUAAUAUUUUGGUCUUUGUUAUAUACAUAUUUACAUGAAUUUUUCCUGUGAAAUUUAGUUUUGUGGUAUAAAGCACUAUUAUCAGCAUGGUUUCUUUACUGUUUAUCUAUAUCUAUAAUGUUUCAUGUUGUGUUUUUCUUGGACUGCUCAUUCAGUGCUGUUAAUUCCCUGCUUUUCAGUUUUUCACAAGGAAUCAAUAUUCUUGACCUUACAUGCGAUUCAAUUAUAGGCUUUUGGAAUUGUUCCUCCAUACUGAAACAUUAGCAUUUUUGUGACAAUGGAAAAUUUGAUUUGUUAUUCUUAUUUUUUGUAUUUCUUGGAGUUUUAAAGUAUGACAUUGGUAUGGACUUCAAAGUAAAUUGAACGGUGCAAUUCUGUAGUUCUGUACUAGAUGCCCUUAGUUCUGGAAGAUGAUGGACUGAAGUAGGUGCAGUGGCAUUGAUAUCACAUCACACACAGGUUCUUAAUGCUAAAGCCCACGCUGCUAAUUUUGUGGCCUUUACAUCUCCUAUCAUUUUUCUGCACUUUCUUCCUUUAGUUGUUGUCUAUGUCAUGUUUGCUAAUAUUCAUAAUCAAUAGAAGACUAUAAUAUAGUAUUCUAAGGUUAUGCUGUUUUUUGUCGACCUUCAGGGUUCUUUUUCAACACAUUCACUGAGUUGUAGUGCGUCAAGUAGAAGGGCAAUUGUGAGGUCCUUGAUUGUUCAGUUGCUGUAUAAAACACUUGUUUGUGCCCCUGAAGCAUCAUUUUGAAUUUAGGUAAGACUUCAAAACGAAUGUGUUCGAAAGGAAUAUGACCAUUUUUACCAUAGUUGUUAUUGGCUUUAAAAAAUAACAGAGGUAGUUUUUUAAGAUAAAGGAAUACAUGCUAUGGAUUGUUAAUUUUACUAGAGUAAUUGUUACUUGUAGGCUUGUUUAAUUUAAUGUUGCCCAAUAUCACUAUAUCCCCUCUUUGCAGCUAUCUAUGAUUGGAUCUAGAAUCAGGUUCAGAGUACUUUGCUUCCUGGAUUUGCAGUGGUACAUGUCCGGAAUGCAGAAAUUUGUUGUUUGGUUUCAUUGCUAUGGUUACCAUGUUAUCCAAAAUGAAUGGUCUAAUCCACAAAACUCACCCCCGCAGUUUGAAGAAGGUUAACAUAUUCAGCCUUACCUAUACAAAUAAAGAGGUCAUUUCCAUUGACUUUACAAACCUAAGUUGAGGACAAAAAGUCAAACUCAUCAUGGAGAUAAGGCCAACCUUUGAAGUCAUUUUUAUUAUAACAUUUUUCCUCCCACUAUUCAGUAUCUUGUUGGGACGUUUCUCACUAUUCAGUAUCUUGUUAGGACAUUUCUUAAGCUUAAAAAAUUUGGAAUUUGAACAUCGUCUCUGAUUUUUAUUCUGCUGUUAGUGUUACAUUUACUUUGUUCGCUAUAAACGGUGUAGAUUGGUAAUUGUCUUUGACUCUUUGUUUGGUUAAAUAUAUUGCAGUGUUGUUGAAAAUGUUUAGCUUAUGAUAAAACUUUUGGUGACUUUAUGGUGAAAAUUUGCAAUCAACUGAAUGAAUGCAUUCCUCUUGAUGACAUCGUGAUACAGUAUUGAAUGUGGAAGUGUACUGCCAAAGUGAUAGUGACCUUUUGUUGCCCGUGUUAUGAUGACCAGUUGAUUUUGCAAGAGGCAAAUCAUAUCUUACAAAUGGGUAUGGUAUAAGAUAACAGACAUGAUAGUAUACCUUACAUGCUGAUAUUGGCUGACAUGGAGGCCUAACAUUUUCAGAACCACGUGAAUAGAUGUUGGUGGAUUACUUUUUAUAGUUUUGAUUUUUUGGAACCUUUUUAUGUGCUUAUCUAUCAUAAAAUGGAACAAAUAAGUUUUGAUAGCAAGGAAUUUCUAUUUGUUUUUGGGCCAUUGUAUGGAAUAAAUAAGUUUUGAUAGAAGGAUUUUGUGGCACACAUCUUUUUCAAAUAAAUGGUCUUAGUUAAGGAAAGUUGAGAUUGAAUUCCAAAUACCAUUCAGUCAGCUAACACCCCAUGGUGCCUUAUUUUCUUUUCGUUCAAGAAUUUCGACUUCUUUUACUCUUUUGAUCGGCUUAGUUAGUUAGUAUUUGUUGAUAAGAUCUAUCACUAUGUUUAGAUUCCUUGGUCUUACCACUUCAAUUGAGGAUCCAACCUAACUCCAUGAGGUUGACUACGAUGGGCAAAUUUCAUCAUAAAAAACAGGUUAUUAAAUAUAUGUGUACUAGCCUUUGGCAUAUUAUUUUUCAUCGUAGUCUUUUGGAGGACAAUAAAAUGAAUUUUUUGUCCAUUUUUUAUGAGUAUGUGUUUCUUCAGUAGUUUGGUAUCAUGAAAUUAAUUUUAGGUACCCAUGAAAUAGUUUGUAUUAAAGAAUAUUUUGGUUGUUCAAGGUGUUGGGCGCGGAGCGAACCUCGAUUGAAGCUCGGGUCUAUCAUCAAUUUGAUGUUGGGAGACAAGUAGGUUUGGUAGAAGAUCCUACAAAACUAAAAAAGGGGCAUGCCCGACAAAAGCCUUUCCAAAGUAUAGUUGGAGAAACGUAACAUUUGCUUCAAAGGGUUCAAAAGGGGUGUUAAGUGACUUGCUCUUAGGGUUUCGAGGGUUUUUUUGCCUUUUAGGCGUAGUCGGAGAGGAAGGGAAUACGGUGUUGGUGACGGUUUGUGUCUUCGGACAAGAAGAGGAGACCGAUGAAGAGGUCACCGGCAUUCUCUCUCUUCUCCAAAACCCUCUGCUUCAUCUAUCGCCCUCGUCCCGCCGAUGCUCUACUUUCCUCCUCCUCCUCUUACUCCGUCGCCGCUACCGGAAGCGGAGCUCUUCAGCCCAGCAUCAUGGCCGAAUACCUCGUCACGUCAUGUGGCUUCUCCCCGGAGAAUGCGACCAAGGCCUCGAAUCUUCUCGGCGGCAUCACGUCCCGCCGGCAGCCCGACUCCGUCCUUGGCUUUCUCAAAAGCCACGGUUUCGACGACACCCAUAUGAAAGACCUGCUGUCUUGGAACCCCCGGUGUCUUCUCCUCGACGUGGAGACGACCCUAGCUGCCAAGUUCCGAUCUCUCCAGGAGUUAGGCUUCUCGCAGUCCGACAUCACCCACCUCGUCCUGGCCAAUCCCUUCGCAAUCAACUAUGACGUCCGCACCGUGGUGCACAAGAUCCGGUUUUGGCAGGGACUCAUCGGAUCCAACGACGUCCUCGUAAAUCUCUUUAAGAGCCGCCGGUGGUUUCUCGGGUUUAGCAUCGAGAAGAGGAUCCAGCCAAACAUCGAGAUGCUACGGAGCUGUGGAAUCACGGAUCAAAAGCUUAGAACGAUCCUGAGGUACCGGCCCACGAUGGUAACCCAGAGGGCGGAAACCUUGAGGGCUUUGAUCAGUCGUGUCGAGGGAUUCGGAGUACCCCGCACUUCGGGGAGGUUCCACUGGACUCUGUUGAUGCUCUCCACUCUUAGCGUGGAGAGAUGCAAUGCGCAAAAGAAGCUAUUCGAGGCCUUCGGGUGGUCAGAGGCCGACUUCCUCGAUGCAAUCAGAAAGACUCCUUUUUUCUUGACAGGUUCCCUGAAGAAUCUGAAGAUGAAAAUGGAAUUCUUGGUGAAUGAGGCUGGAUAUGCUCCGUCUUAUAUCGCCCUCCGGCCUGUGCUCUUGACACUUAGUUUAGAGAAAAGGUUGAUCCCAAGAUAUCAGCUCAUGGCAGCCCUGAAGUCCAGGGGGCUGUGCGCUGGUCAUCCCAAAUCGGUCACAUAUAUGCUGUGUCCAGAGAAGAAGUUCUUGGAAAGGUAUGUCAUCAUCUACAAGAAGCAGUUUCCGGAGCUCAUUGAAUUGUACAGUGCGAGAAAAUAGUAGUUCUGGAUUAGCUAGCUGUAGGUUUUGGCUCCUGCAAUCCAUGGUUUCUGGUUCCAGCCUUUUACUCUCUGCUUAACUUGAUCUGCAGUUUGAGACUUAUUAGUAAUAUGAUUUAUGUCAUUUGCUUCCUUUUUUUCUGGUGCAUUAAGAGGAAUGUAGCUGCAUACAUGUAGAAAGAAAGGAAAGCAAUAUGAAGUGGAACACAAUGACUUCUUGUAGCAUGUUGAUUCGGUCAAUUGUUUCCUGAUAAUUUCCUGCAUAGGAAAAAUUAUAUACUCUAGGAAUUUGUAGGAAUUGAUACUGUUGUCCCAUUCUUUUUUUUAACCUACUUCUGGGAACACAUUUGGCAGACAUGUGUGCUUGUGUGUGUGUGUGUGUGUGUCGUAGACUAUGAAACUGAAACCAAUUCUUUGUUUGAUCUAUGGCUCUCCUUGAUGUGCAUUGAAGUAGAUGCUUUGCUUAUGUUGUAGCUGAUAUCAUUAUGUUAUCAUGAAAAAUUUUGUCAUAACCCGGGCCUGAUAGGCUAACUGAUCUAUCAACUUCGUUUGGUCUAAACCACUGAUUAAAAUGUUUAAGCUGAAGUUAAUAAUAGUACACUCAUCAGACUCUUAUAAGUCAAUCUUAAUCUUGCCCACUUCCGAUUAGGGACAAAUCAGGGGUGUUACAAAUUUUGAGAUGAUGGUUUCAAAGGUCACAUUACUAUUACACUAUGGAGUUAUAUGGUUGCAUCCUUUUUUUCUCCUUUUAAUGAAAAAUUGGUGCUUUGCAAUUAGCUACUAGUGAAGUUCAUGUUUAUUUUGAUACGAUACGUCGAAUCUACGUGGAUGUUGUCUAAGAUUGAUCUAAUUUUGGUCAAUUUCUCAGCUGAAUCAGCUAUAAUCGUUUGAAAAUACUUUGAGUUUAUUGAUUUUUGGGUGAAUUUUACACUACUUGAUGACCUCAAACUCAAAGGGAAGAAAAAAGAAAGACGGAUGGAGAAGAAGAAAGAAAAGAGGAAAGUUGAGAUGGUGAAAAGAUAAAAGAAAAGAGAGAAAACUGUGAUUGUGAUUCUAAAUCAGAGGAGGGAACAUUGCUUUUGCUUUGCUUGCUAUUCACUGCAUCCAUCCACUGCAUUUGUUGUUUACUACUCCAUCCAUCGGGUAGAAUAGUGGACCCCAUCGGUCUUAGCUCCCUUUCCUUCUGUGAGAAAUACUUGUUAAUGAUUUAUACAACACUAAUUUUAGCCUAAUUUCAAUCUAUCGAGAUGUCAAAAUAUCAGUAAAAAAAGAAGAAAAUUAGCUGAUAAAUGAAUACGUGAAUAAAUUUGUGGCACAAACUCUUGUCUCGUCACAGAACCAUCGUAUAGUUGUACUAAGAUAAUAACAUUAAUCUAAAAAUCCAUACACAAAUAGAUAGAUUAUAUAUAUAUAUAUAUAUAUAUAUAUAUAUAUAUAUAUAUAUAGACACACACACGCACAAACCUCAUCCAAAUCCCCUUUCUCUGUCCCCAUUCUCCGUCCGCGAUACAUCGUCGUCGCUUUCCUUCGACAAAUGCGGAGAGAAGACAAAGAUUUGGAAUUCGACCGCUGGCCAAUUCGAAGCCCCAUUUGGUUUGGCUCCCCCCUUUCCUCCUUCCUCCCUUUUCUUGCUCCGAAUUAAAUCUUCUUAUGUGACGUUUGUCGUCUGAAACGACGAUUCUCUUUGCUAUCAUGCAUUUGAUUCGUCUACACGAGGAGGAUUGUGGUUUGAAUUAAAUGAGUACUGUGGGUUAUCUACUUGUUUUCAUGAUAAAGGGGAAUGACAAAGAAAGUCUGACAAAAAUGCCAACCAUGACAUGAAUCCCAACACAUUAUUAUGUUCCGCUGAAGUUUCAUUGGACUUAGCCAGUGUAAUUCUUUCAUUAAUUUGUUUAAUGCUUAUAAGGAGCAACAUACAGUUGGAUGACGUGUCCAAUGUAUCCAAAUUGUGAAAUUGGAGCUAUAAUUUCUCCCGUUGCACUACACAUUCGAUGACCUAGAAGUGGCAGAAAAUGAAAUAUAACUUUUACAUCGCAGUUUUAAUACUUAGAUGCAAGUGUUGGGAAUCUCAUUAGUUAUUGGAAUCGACAAGACACUUUAUAUGAUCCACAUGUCCAAUAAUAAUAAUGACCAAACACAUUUAUCAACUAGUCAUAAAUGAGAGACUUUUCAGAUAUUUAAAAUUAUUUUAAAUUGUUUUGAUGAUGAAAGAAAGCAUUAAGUAUACUUUAAAAAAAAAAUAAAGGAUUGGUGUCCCUUUUCUGGCCUAUCUAUACCAUCAAGGGAUAGACAUUAAGUUCCAUAAGACAUAUAUUAGAAGACACCAGUUGUUUCUUAAUAAAUUAAUCUAAGGAAUCCAAUAUGUGAAAUAAUCAAAGGCUUACUCUUGGACAACUAUGACUCAAGGUAAGUUUAUUUCGUUUCAUGUCCAAUAUAAAUCCAUUGUUUUGCUUACAACAAGAGCAUUUCAAAUCUGUAUGUAUAUGAGUUUUCUAAUCUACUGUUCUCAAUAUUAUUUUUUAAAACUACAUAGAAAGAAAAGAAAAGUGGUGGAUAAAAAUGUAAUAUUUACAUGGUAAUUUUAACUUUUAGAUACAAGUGCACUUCGAGCCUGUUUGCCUUUGCAUUUUAUAAUUAUUCUUUUUGAAUAUUGUUCUUCAACACUACUUAGAAAGAAAACACAAGAAGGUGCUACAAAGGUGCAUACACAGACUUCUUGAAUUUUUGCUGCAAGAAGUACUCGUGACACUUGUUUUAUGGCACAAAAAGUGCUGUUCGUUUCAAUGGUACUUGAGUGACACACUAAACUCAGCUCUAGUAGAUCAUAUGUACAAUGGGAUCUAACAUGCUGUUGUUCCUUUUUUCAUGCUUUUUGUAAACUUGUUAUGUCCAAGGUUGUAUUACUCCUUUCUGUUCAAGAACAUGCGAAAAAUGCUGAUUAUUUCAGUGUUUUGACUUUUAUUUCAUGUCUCAACAUGCUUUGUAAUUAAUCUUUAAUUAUUUGUUACAUAUGCUGUUGCUUACUGAUGGGGUCAAGGAUUUCAAAUAACGUUUGUGAUUGAAACUGAGGAUUUGAAAUAAUGUUUGUGACUGAAACUGAACAGAUAGAAUUGUAAGGCAACAGAGAUUCUCUGAUGAACUCUAUCUCAACGAAUGGCUGUUAUAAUAUUUUGGUCUUUGUUAUAUACAUAUUUACAUGAAUAUUUCCUGUGAAAUUUAGUUUUGUGGUAUAAAGCACUAUUAUCAGCAUGGUUUCUUUAUUGUUUAUCUAUAUCUAUAAUGUUUCAUGUUGUGUUUUUCUUGGACUGCUCAUUCAGUUCUGUUAAUUCCCUGCUUUUCAGUUUUGUUUCUGUCCUCUCUCUAUAUGUGUUUUCCACAAGGAACCAAUAUUCUUGACCUUACAUGCUAUUCAAUUAUAGGCUUUUGGAAUUGUUCCUCCAUACUGAAACAUUAGCAUUUUUGUGACAAUGGAAAAUUUGAUUUGUUCUUCUUAUUUUUUGUAUUUCUUGGAGUUUUAAAGUAUGACGUUGUUAUGCACGUGAAAGUAAAUUGAACGGUGCAAUUCUGCAGUUCUGUACUAUAUGCCCUUAGUUCUGGAAGAUGAAGGACUGAAGUAGGUGCAAUGGCAUUGAUAGCACAUCACACACAGGUUCUUAAUGCUAAAACCCAUGCUGCUAAUUUCGUAGCCUUUACAUCCCCUUUCAUUUUUCUGCACUUUCUUCCUUUAGUUGCUGUCUAUGUCAUGUUUGCUAAUAUUCAUAAUCAAUAGAAGACUAUAAUAUAGUAUUCUAAGGUUAUGCUGUUUUUUGUCAACCUUCAGGGUUCUUUUUCAACACAUUCACUGAGUUGUAGUGCAUCAAGUAGAAGGGCAAAUGUGAGGUCCUCGAUUGUUCAGUUGCUGUAUAAAACACGUGUUUGUGCCCCUGAAGCAUCAUUUUCAUUUUAGGUAUGACUUAAACACGAAUGUGUUCGAAAGGAAUAUGACCAUUUUUGCCAUAGUUGUUAUUGGCUUUAAAAAAUAACAGAGGUAGUUUUUUAAGAUAAAGGAAUACAUGCUAUGGAUUGUUAAUUUUACUAGAGUAAUUGUUACUUGUAGGCUUGUUUAAUUUAAUGUUGCCCAAUAUCACUAUACCUCCUCUUUGCAGCUAUCUAUGAUUGGAUUUAGAAUCAGGUUCAGAGUACUUUGCUUCCUGGAUUUGCAGUGGUACAUGUCCGGAAUGCAGAAAUUUGUUGUUUGGUUUCAUUGCUAUGGUUACCAUGUUAUCCAAAAUGAAUGGUCUAAUCCACAAAACUCACCCCCGCAGUUUGAAGAAGGUUAACAUGUUCAGCCUUACCUAUACAAUUAAAGAAAGAGGUCAUUUCCAUUGACUUUACAAACCUAAGUUGAGGACAGAAAGGCAAACUCAUCAUGGAGAUAAGGCUAACCUUUGAAGACAUUUUUAUUAUAACAUUUUUCCUCCCACUAUUCAGCAUCUUGUUGGGACAUUUCUCACUAUUCAGUAUCUUGUUAGGACAUUUCUUAAGCUUAAAAAAUCUGGAAUUUGAACAUCGUCUCUGAUUUUUAUUUUGCUGUUAGUCUUACAUUUACUUUGUUUGGUAUAAACGGUGUAGAUUGGUAAUUGUCUUUGACUCUUUGUUUGGUUAAAUAUAUUGCAGUGUUGUUGAAAAUGUUUAGCUUAUGAUAAAACUUUUGGUGACUUUAUGGUGAAAAUUUGCAAUCGACUGAAUGAAUGCAUUCCUCUUGAUGACAUCGUGAUAUAGUAUUGAAUGUGGAAGAGUACUGCCAAAGUGAUAGUGACCUUUUGUUGCCUCUGUAUUAUGAUGACCAGUUGAUUUUACAAACUAGACCAUUAUAGUUUGGCUGAUUGAUUUUGCAAGAGGCAAAUCAUAUCUUACAAAUGGGUAUGGUAUAAGAUAACAGACAUGAUAGUAUACCUUACAUGCUGAUAUCGGCUGACAUGGAGGCCUAACAUUUUCAGAACCACAUGAAUAGAUGUUGGUGGAUUGCUUUUUAUAGUUUUGAUUUUUUGGAACCUUUUUAUGUUCUUGUCUCUCAUAAAAUUGAAUAAAUAAGUUUUGAUAGAAGGAUUUUGUGGCACACAUCUUUUUCAAAUAAUUGGUCUUAGUUAAGGAAAGUUGAGAUUGAAUUCCAAAUACCAUUCAGUCAGCUAACACUGCAUGGUGCCUUUUUUUCUUUUCGUUCAAGAAUUUUGACUUCUUUUACUCUUUUGAUCGGCUUAGUCAGUUAGUAUUUGUUGAUAAGAUCUAUUGCUAUGUUUAGAUUCCUUGGUCUUACCACUUCGAUUGAAGAUCCAACCUAACUCCAUGAGGUUGACUACGUUGGGCAAAUUUCAUCAUAAAAAAUAGGUUAUUAAAUAUAUGUGUACUAGUCUUUGGCGUAUUAUUUUUCAUCGUUGUCUUUUGGAGGACAAUAAAAUGAAUUUUUUAUCCAUUUUUUAUGGGUAUGUGUUUCUUUAGUAGUUUGGUAUCAUGAAAUUAAUUUUAGGUACCCAUGAAACAGUUUGUAUUAAAGCAUAUUUUGGUUGUUCAAGGUGUUGGGCGCGGAGCCAACCUCGAUUGAGUAGGUUAGGUAGAAGAUCCUACAAAACUAAAUCAGAGGCAUGCCCGACAAAAGUCUUUCCAAAGUAGAGCUGGAGAAAUGUAAUAGUUGCUUUAAAGGGUUCAAAGGGCUGUUAGGUGACUUAGCAUACCUAGGACAUUUUAUAUAAAGCUUUGGUAAUCGUCAAUAUUAAGUGGGAAGUUAAUUUGUGGAAUUAUUAAGCGUUACUCGAUCGUGGAGAGUUAACCAAACCAUCAGGACAUUUCCAUUAGCAUAGUCGUGCGAACUUGGUAUAUUAUAGUUGUCCAAUGUGUUGGGCCAUGGAGCUAACCUUGAUUCAAGCUUGGGUCUAUUGUCAGUUUAAUCUCGCUAGAUGAUUGGGUUCAAUAGGGGCAUAUGCAAAAUUUAGUCGGGGACAUACCAAACAAAAGUCUUUGAUGCUUAUGUUAGUAUAUCUAGAGAAAUGUAAUGUAGGAUUCGGAGGUUUCAAAGAGCACUACCUAGGGCUUUUUAAUAAGGGUUUUGAUUACCAUCAAAAUUAAGUGGUUUCGUUGGAUUGUUGGGUGUUACUCGGAUGUGAGGAGUCACUCAAACCGUUAAGAGAUAUAUGGCAGCUUCAUGGCUGGAUUUGACCAUAUUAGAGAUACAGGGAGUUUCGUGGCUAGAUUCGAUCGCAUUCGGGAUAGAGAAUAAUUCAUUAUCAUAUUCCAUUACAUCGUUGAUAAAGGAUACUUUAUGGUCAUAUUCGGCCACGUUGGAGAAAUGAUGCUUCAUGUCGAAGUCAAUUGCAUCGAGGGCUCGAGAUGCAUCUUGGCAACAUCAUCAAGCUUUUUUUAUCGUUUUUCUACCACAAGCCACUCCAACUACAAGCUCGACUUACCUUUGUUCUACAAUUGAAAUACGAUUUGCUUUAGUAACAACGUCAUAUUAAUUUUUGAUGAUUUGACAUUUUUGCCCUGAUACUUGAUCUUUUAUGUUUGAUUGGGGCCUUCCAUAUCGUGCACCACUCAAAUUAACGAAAAAGCUAAGGAUAAGGUAGUGAAGGCCUAACAAUGCCUGACCCCUAUAAAAGGGAGCCUUAGUUGUAUCUGAGCUUCCUACUUUACAAAGCCACCAUCUUUGAUACUAAACAAACAGGUGGCUGCAGUCUGUGGGCAAAGGCAUCCAUGGAAGCCACCUUCUUCAUUUUAGUAGGUAAAAGCAGUUAACCUUACCUGUCUUCCCCACCCGAUGAACAGCUUCCUUGAAGCUUCCUACAGUUUCUUGCACUCAGCUGAUUGGACUCAGAAAAUAAAUAUUUCAUCUUAUUUAAUGUCAGUUUUCAGAAUUAUAUACCCUCAGCAACCUUUUUUUUUUUCUAUUCAAGGACAUAAAACUGCUUUGUUGAUAAAUUUUGCUGUUAAUCUCGAGUUUUGGUAAAUUGAGAGCUAUGUCAUGAUGUCUUUAGAACUAAAUUUGGCACAACAGGAUAAAUUUCUAGCAUGCUUCUUAACCCUAAUGUUAGAAACCUAGUGGAUUCAGGUACAUGUUGCAUGAAACUCCACACACUCAUCAGGCUUGAUUGAAUUUUUAUGAGACUCACAUCGUGACAUCCAAGUUGAUGCUAAUUUAAUGAUUUAGUUUGAGGAGUCAUUACAUCCAAAUGCGAGCUUACUCAACGCACUUGAUCAGUGUCAUAGGAAACAUAUAUAUUAUCAUGAUAGAGUAUGAAAGCUUAGAUUAGGUAUAUAAAACACUAAGUGAUAGACAGAGUAGUAUCAGCAUGAAUAUGAAUGUUAGCUAGAUAUAUAAUUCAUGGUGUAGGAUUCAUGACAAAGGAGGUGAGUUGUACAUUAAAAGUUGUCUUAGUUGCCCAGUGAAGAAAAAAAAGGCUUUUUCAUUAAGUUCAUGAACCUGAAACACUGGUCCAAAGUGUUUAUUCAUUUAUUUUAUGAGCCUUGAAGUAUUUUUUUGUUCAUCAUCUCGACCCAGUCUGAUAACUUAUUAAUUUGAUGAGUAUGAAACACUAAUUCAAAGCACUUGCAUCCAUAUUAAUGAAAAUAGACUUAUUUAACAAUCUGCCCCACUUAUGUUUAACAUAUUGAACUUUACACUCAGCCAUCUUUUCUGGUUUGGGUACCUCAUCAUGCCCAUUAAUAAAUCCCCCUUGAUAUGAUUUGUCACAACUUGAUCUGAGGAGAUAUCUUAAUAACAUUAUGAAUCUGAACUAAGUGCUUAGGCCAAAGUUAAUAACGAUAAACUUAUGUAGCUCUAUAUACCAAUUUGAUUGAGCUGUUGUAUGUGAUGUAGAUCUAAACAUGCGGCAUCACAUUCUUUUAUCCUGCUAUAAAUGCUCCUCAUCUUCAUGGCUUCACCUAAACAUCACUUGAAGUCCUCACAAGAACAGCCAUGUCUUCUCUUGGAGCCAGCUAUGCUUACAUCCAUGAACUGAGGAAACGCUGCAAGGAAAUGGAGAGGAAGAAGACAGAUGGUGGUGUGGCCACAGAGGAGAAGAGCUCCAAGGGAAGAGUUCAUCCUAGUGACACCCCUUCACCAGUGUGUCGUGAAGAACGAGGUGAAGGUAAUUGUUGGAGAAGCUCGGUCACCAAAUAAAUCCCCAAAAAAGAAAGAUGAUGAAUUAUUGGGUGUUGAUGGGGGGCUUGUUUUACAUUUAGACAAUGCUAUGUCCACAUAUAUAUAUUUUGCCUUCCAAUGUUCCAAGUCUCUUUAGUAGGGAAAUGUGGGAGGAAUAAUCAUCCAAUUGUUUUCUUUUUCUCUACCUAGAUACGACAGAAAUAGAUGUUGCUUUCAUUAUUAACAUAGUCAGGUUCAUAGCCAUAUGGAAGUUUUUUUAAUGAAUAUUUUUCUUCUAUCAUAUCAAAUUGCACACAAGAUACAAGCUCAACAAUGGAUGGUAAUAUUAUGGAAUAAUCACAUUUAUGGCCAACUAAGGAUCAGAAUAUUUUAAGGAUGGUAAUAUGUAUCCUAGAGAUUAUCCAAACUCAACAAUGAAGACAACAACAAUUGAAGUUUGUAUGCGGGUUUCAAUUUUACUUAUAACUUAAAUUCAUCUUUGAUAAGAAUGAUCUCUCAGCUGAUUGUUAGGGUUGACAAGUAUUUUAAAAAUAAAUUUAUUUGGAGGAUAAAAAAUUUAAAUUUUAUGAAAAGAAAUUUUUGUGAAUCAGAGUUUAGUUGUCUUGUAAAUAUCUAAUAUAUCUCAACGUCUUAACAAGACAUCAUGAAAAAAAAAAAAAAAAAAAAAAAACCCUUGGUGGUGAUAAUUUUAUACUGAUAAUUUUGAGCUUUUAUCUAUCAGAUUAUUUUAAUGUCCCUCAGACAACUUUUUGCUCGUGUCAAUCGAUCCUGUUGCCCAAGUGCAAGAAUUCUGGCAUCUUGAUACUGAAUUUGCUCCUUUUUUUUUCUUUUGUUUUCUUCUAUUUCCGUUCUUUGGGUUGUAGACUUUGUGCUCUAAUUUUGAGUUGGAUUUCCUAUAGUCUGAAAAGCUAUUGCUCUUCUUCGUUCAUAAUCAGCCAUAUUUUUGCUCCUUUGGCUUUCAGAAUCUGGUUGGAGCAAGCAAGUUCUUUUAUGGAUGUCAUCUUUGGCAUGGAUUGACGACCUCCAAGCAGAAGCAUUCCUCUGAUCUGAUCACCAGGCCUACUCAAUCGUGGUCCUCGAUGAACAUGAGAUAAAAGUACCUUGGCCUGCUUACAAAGUACAAGCUUCCAAGUGCAAGCUUCCUCUUGUUAACUCAAACAUAGACUGGAGUAGCUUUAAGAGGAUACCAGCUACUCCUAGAGUCCUUAACUUUCUGCUUAGAACUUCAUAGAACACAUUUUCUCAUUUCGGACAGACUUGCUGCUUUAAAUAUUUCCUUACUUCAUCAAUUUUGGUGCUGCAGAAUAUGAGACUGAAUCCAUCCAUAAAAGAUCGUAUCUUCUUUUCUUGUCAAUUUGCUCGAGAGUUUUGGAACUACUUUCAGAUCCAUUUGAAUGAAAUUUUAAUUUCAUUGCAGCUUUUAAAUGAUUAAAAUAUUUUUAUUUAGACAGAUUACAAAUCAUAUCGGUUUUUCUUGUUAUCAGUUAAACAAAGUUGAAGGUUUAUUAUGAUAAAUUUAUAUAUAUAUCUUAUUAUGAUGAUGGAUUGUGGUCUGAAAUCCAUCUAAUUAAUUUGUAUGCAUAAAUAUUUUAUCCAAUGAGUUUAUACAUCUAAAUUAACAAAAAAAUUGGUCUAAUAAUUUUAUCUAAAAUAUUCUAUCCAAUUUAUUGAGAAUAUUAACUUCCAUCUGCGAAUUCUCUCUCCACCGCUUGCUCUUAGGGUUUCGAGGUUUUUUGCUUUUUAGGCGCAGUCGGAGAGGAAGGGAAUACGGUGUUGGUGACGGUUUGUGUCUUCGGACAAGAAGAGGAGACCGAUGAAGAGGUCACCGGCAUUCUCUCUCUUCUCCAAAACCCUCUGCUUCAUCUAUCGCCCUCGUCCCGCCGAUGCUCUACUUUCCUCCUCCUCCUCUUACUCCGUCGCCGCUACCGGAAGCGGAGCUCUUCAGCCCAGCUUCAUGGCCGAAUACCUCGUCACGACAUGUGGCUUCUCCCCGGAGAAGGCGACCAAGGCCUCGAAUCUCCUCGGCGGCAUCGCGUCCCGCCGGCAGCCCGACUCCGUCCUUGGCUUUCUCAAAAGCCACGGUUUCGACGACACCCAUGUGAAAGAGCUGCUGUCUGGGAACCCCCGGUGGCUUCUCCUCGACGUGGAGACGAACCUGGCCGCCAAGUUCCGAACUCUCCAGGAGUUAGGCUUCUCACAGUCCGACAUCACCCACCUCGUCGUGGCCAAUCCCUCCGCAAUCAACUGUCGCGUCCCCACCAUGGUGCACAAGAUCCGGUUUUGGCAGGGACUCAUCGGAUCCAACGACCUACUCAUAAAGGUCUUUAAGCGCCGCCAGUGGAUUCUCGGGUAUAGCAUUGAGAAGAGGAUCCAGCCAAACAUCGAGAUGCUACGGAGCUGUGGAUUCACGGAUCAAAAGCUUAGAACGAUCCUGAGGUACCGGCCCACGUUGGUAACCCAGAGGGCGGAAACCUUGAGGGCUUUGAUCAGUCGUGCCGACGGAUUCGGAGUACCCCGCACCUCGGGGAGGUUCCACUGGACUCUGUUGAUGCUCUCCACUCUUAGCGUGGAGAGAUGCAAUGCGCAAAAGAAGCUAUUCGGGGCCUUCGGGUGGUCAGAGGCCGACUUCCUCGACGCAUUAAAAAAGACUCCUGGUUUCUUGACAUGUUCCCUGAAGAAUCUGAAGAUGAAAAUGGAAUUCUUGGUGAAUGAGGCUGGAUAUGCUCCGUCUUAUAUAGGUCAGAGGCCUGUGCUUUUGACAUAUAGUUUAGAGAAAAGGUUGAUCCCAAGAUAUCAGCUCAUGGCAGCCCUGAAGUCCAGGGGGUUGUGCGCUGGUCAUCCCAAAUCGCUCGCAUAUAUGCUGUGUCCAGAGAAGAAGUUCUUGGAAAGGUAUGUCAUCAUCUACAAGAAGCAGUUUCCGGAGCUCAUUGAAUCGUACAGUGUGAGAAAAUAGUAGUUCUGGAUUAGCUAGCUGUAGGUUUUGGCUCCUUUUACUCUCUGCUUAACUUGAUCUGCAGUUUGAGACUUAUUAGUAAUAUGAUUUAUGUCAUUUGCUUCCUUUUUUUCUGGUGCAUUAAGAGGAAUGUAGCUGCAUACAUGUAGAAAGAAAGGAAAGCAAUAUGAAGUGGAACACAAUGACUUCUUGUAGCAUGUUGAUUCGGUCAAUUGUUUCCUGAUAAUUACCUGCAUAGGAAAAAUCAGAUACUGUAGGAAUUGAUACUGUUGUCCCAUUCUUUUUUUUAACCAACUUCUGGGAACACAUUUGGCAGACGUGUGCGCUUGUGUGUGUGUGUGUGUGUGUGUCGUAGUGACUAUGAAACUGAAACAAAUUCUUUGUUUGAUCUAUGGCUCUCCUUGAUGUGCAUUGAAGUAGAUGCUUUGCUUAUGUUGUAGCUGAUAUCAUUAUGUUAUCAUGAAGAAUUUUGAGAUGAUGGUUUCAAAGGUCACAUUACUAUUAAACUAUGGAGUUAUGGUUGCAUCGUUUUUUUCUCCUUUGAUGAAAAAUUGGUGCUUUUGAUCGAUUUUGACAUGAUACGUCGAAUCUGCAUGGAUGUUGUCUAAGAUUGAUCUAAUUUUGGUCGAUUUCUCAGCUGAAUCAGCUAGAAUCAGUUGAAAAUACUUGAGUUUAUUGAUUUAUGGGUGAAUUUUACACUACUUGAUGACCUCAAACUCAAAGGGAAGAAAAAAGAAAGACGGAAGGAGAAGAAGAAAGAAAAGAGGAAAGUUGAGAUGGUGAAAAGAUAAAAGAAAAAAAGAGAAAACUGUGAUUGUGAUUCUAAAUCAGUGGAGGGAACAUUGCUUUUGCUUUUGCUUUGCUUGCUAUUCACUGCAUCCAUCCACUGCAUUUGUUGUUUGCUACUACAUCCAUCGGGUAGAAUAGAUGGAGGAUUACAGGCAAAAGGAAGAGGAGGACAGAAGUAACCCAUAACCUAAUAUGAACUGUUCCUGCUCCUUAUAUUUAUUAAGUUUUAGCCAAUGAUUUUGACACUUUGGAAAAUUUUGAACUAGUGAUUGCAUAGUGUCCAUAAUCAUGCACAUGGCAGAAGCACAUGUUGUAGUUUCGUCAGCAUCCGUAUAGAAUAGGCAGCAUGUUUGGUUGGUUCAAUCCGAUCAAUAAAAGAAAAUAUUUCACAGGUUUGUGGCUUGUUUUCGUGCGCCCUCUUCCUCUUUCAUGCAAGCAUGAACGAUUGUUGUUGUCCGCUGUCCAUUGCUCUGUCAUUGAUUUCAGGUACGCUUCCGCCUCCUCUUUCUUCUCAUAUUCUGCUUCAUCCUCUUCCUUCUUUUUCUUUUUCUUUUUUCUUUCUUCUCAUCUUCUCACCUUCUUUCUUCCUCUUUCUCCUCCCUACUCUUAACACAUGGCUUUCUCUUCUUCUUCGUCCGCCUUCUACUUUCUUCAUCCACUUUCAUUUGUUUCUUCCUUUUGAGGCUUCGGUACAUACCCGUACAUAAUGUGUCGGUAUAUAUUGGUAUCUCGAUGUAUGGAUUGGUACGUAUCGGUCUGGGCAGAGACCGAUAAGUUACAUCUGCAAGCUUCAGAUGUCGAAGUGCUCGACAACUCGAAGAGUUUUCACUUGCUGCUCAGUUUCUGCUACAAAGCUCUUCUAUCGUUAGCGGUGUAAGGUAAGUUUGUGUAUGUUAACACUACCCUGUAUACCACUGAAAAGCGCAUUUUACACAGUAUCUGCUACAAAGCUCUUCUAUCGUUAGCGGUGGAAUGUAAGUUUGUGUAUGUUAACACUACCCUGUAUACCACUGAAAAGUGCAUUUUACACAGAAUUAUGUUGUAUUGACGUUUUGGGGGAAAUUUUAGUUUAAAAUUUGCUGAAUUUGGCUCUUAUAAAAUGCAUUAACAGUUAAAAAAUGACAGCAUGAGUUGAUGAUUGCAUAGAUGUGAGCAAUAAGAUGCUAAAAUGGAUCCUAAUUCUACCUAAUAACUGGAUCAAAAUGAAAGUUUCAAUUAACCGGAUUAAUUCGUUGAUUAAAAUGAUCUAAAAAUUGUAUCCAAAUGGAAGAAAUCGAUGAAUCUUAUGAUCUAAAGAUAAUCCUCAAGGGGCAAAAGCAAGAUCAAAUCGGAUCAUACAGCACAUGAACCCUAAUCCUCAUGGAACGAUAUGAGUUAAACUAUGUGGAUCUUGAGAUGAUUUCGACAUAUCGUUACAAAUUUAUCCAUAAUUAAUCAAAACAUAAAUAUUAUAUAUGUUGAAACCUUAUAAAUUGGAUCCGUGGCGCAAUGGUAGCGCGUCUGACUCCAGAUCAGAAGGUUGCGUGUUCGAUUCACGUCGGGUUCAAUUUAACAAAUUUGUAAUAUUUUUUUUUGUUGCAUUUGUGAUUGGAGCACUGAACGGCCCCACAAGUGGACCCUAUCCGAUUCUUAAGCUCCUUUUCCUUUUUCUAUACCUUGUGAUUGGAUUAAGGGACGGACCCACUAGUGGACCCCAUCGGUCUUAGCUCCCUUUCCUUCUGUGAGAAAUACUUGUUAAUGAUUUAUACAACACUAAUUUUAGCCUAAUUUCAAUCUAUCGAGAUGUCAAAAUAUCAGUAAAAAAAGAAGAAAAUUAGCUGAUAAAUGAAUACGUGAAUAAAUUUGUGGCACAAACUCUUGUCUCGUCACAGAACCAUCGUAUAGUUGGACUAAGAUUCACCCUCUAAAUACAUUUUAUGAGGUUCGAACAAUUACAUACAAUAGGGUUUUAAAAAAUAACAUUAAUCUAAAAAUACACACACACACACAUAUAUAUAUAUAUAUAUAUAUAUAGACACGCACAAACCUCAUCCAAAUCCCCUUUCUCUGUCCCCAUUCUCCGUCCGCGAUACAUCGUCGUCGCUUUCCUUCGAUAAAUGCGGAGAGAAGACAAAGAUUUGGAAUUCGACCGCUGGCCAAUUCGAAGCCCCAUUUGGUUUGGCUCCCCCUCCUUCCUCCCUUUUCUUGAUCCGAAUUAAAUCUUCUUAUGUAACGUUUGUCGUCUGAAACGACGAUUCUCUUUGGUAUCAUGCAUUUUAUUCGUCUACACGAGGAGGAUUGUGGUUUGAAUUAAAUGAGUACUGUGAGUUAUCUACUUGUUUUCAUGAUGAUAAAGGGUAAUGACAAAGAAAGUCUGACAAAAAUGCCAACCAUGACAUGAAUCCCAACACAUUAUUAUGUUCCGCUGAAGUUUCAUUGGACUAUGCCAACCAUGACAUGAAUCCCAACAUACAGUUAGAUGACGUGUAAAAUGUAUCCAAAUUGUGAAAUUGGAGCUAUAAUUUAUCCCGUUGCACUACACAUUCGAUGACCUAGAAGUGGCAGAAAUUGAAAUAUAACUUUUACAUGGCAGUUUUAACACUUAGAUGCAAGUGUUGGGAAUCUCAUUAGUUAUUGGAAUCGACAAGAUACUUUAUCUGAUCCACAUGUCCAAUAAUAAUAAUGACCAAACACAUUUAUCAACUAGUCAUAAAUGAGAGACUUUUCAGAUAUUUAAAAUUAUUUUAAAUUGUUUUGAUGAUGAAAGAAAGCAUUAAGUAUACUUUUUAAAAAAAAUAAAGGAUUGGUGUCCCUUUUCUGCCUAUCAAUACCAUUAAGGGAUAGACAUUAAGUUCCAUAAGACAUAGAAUAGAAGACACCAAUUGUUUCUUAAUAAAUUAAUCUAAGGAGUCCAAUAUGUGAACUAAUCAAAGGCUUAUUCUUGGACAACUGUGACUCAAGGUAAGUUUAUUUCGUUGCAUGUCCAAUAUAAAUCCAUUGUUUUGCUUACAACGAGAGAAUUUCAAAUCUGUAUGUUUAUGAGUUUUCUAAUCUAUUGUUCCCAAUAUUAUUUUUUAAAACUACAUAGAAAGAAAAGAAAAGUGGUGGAUAAAAAUGUAAUAUUUACAUGGUAAUUUUAACUUUUAGAUACAAGUGCACUUCGAGCCAGUAUGCAUUUGCAUUUUAUAAUUAUUCUUUUUGAAUAUUGUUCUUCAACACUACUUAGAAAGAAAACACAAGAAGGUCCUACAAAGGUGCAUACACAGACUUCUUGAAUUUUUGCUGCAAGAAGUACUCGUGACACUUGUUUUAUGGCACAAAAAGUGCUGUUGGUUUCAAUGGUACUUGAGUGACACACUAAACUCAGCUCUAGUAGAUCAUGCGUACAAUGUGAUCUAACAUGCUGUUGUUCCUUUUUUCAUGUUUUUUGUAAACUUGUUAUGUCCAAGGUUGUAUUACUCCUUUCUGUUCAAGAACAUGUGAAAAAUGCUGAUUAUUUCAGUGCUUUGACGUUUAUUUCAUGUCUCAACAUGCUUUGUACUUAAUCUUUAACUAUUUGUUACAUAUGCUGUUGCUUACUAAUGGGGUCAAGGAUUUCAAAUAACGUUUGUGAUUGAAACUGAGGAUUUGAAAUAAUGUUUGUGACUGAAACUGAACAGAUAGAAUUGUAAGGCAACAGAGAUUCUCUGAUGAACUCUAUCUCAACGAAUGGCUGUUAUAAUAUUUUGGUCUUUGUUAUAUACAUAUUUACAUGAAUAUUUCCUGUGAAAUUUAGUUUUGUGGUAUCAAGCACUAUUAUCAGCAUGGUUUCUUUAUUGUUUAUCUAUAUCUUUAAUGUUUCAUGUUGUGUUUUUCUUGGACUGCUCAUUCAGUUCUGUUAAUUCCCUGCUUUUCAGUUUUGUUUCUAUCCUCUCUCUAUAUGUGUUUUCCACAAGGAACCAAUAUUCUUUACCAUACAUGCUAUUCAAUUAUAGGCUUUUGGAAUUGUUCCUCCGUACUGAAACAUUAGCAUUUUUGUGACAAUGGAAAAUUUGAUUUGUUCUUCUUAUUUUUUGUAUUUCUUGGAGUUUUAAAGUAUGACAUUGUUAUGGGCUUCAAACUAAAUUGAACGGUGCAAUUCUGCAGUUCUGUACUAGAUGCCCUUAGUUCUGGAAGAUGAAGGACUGAAGUAGGUGCAAUGGCAUUGAUAGCACAUCACACACAGGUUCUUAAUGCUAAAACCCAUGCUGCUAAUUUCGUAGCCUUUACAUCUCCUUUCAUUUUUCUGCACUUUCUUCCUUUAGUUGCUGUCUAUGUCAUGUUUGCUAAUAUUCAUAAUCAAUAGAAGACUAUAAUAUAGUAUUCUAAGGUUAUGCUGUUUUUUUGUCAACCUUCAGGGUUCUUUUUCAACACAUUCACUGAGUUGUAGUGCAUCAAGUAGAAGGGCAAAUGUGAGGUCCUCGUUUGUUCAGUUGCUGUAUAAAACACGUGUUUGUGCCCCUGAAGCAUCAUUUUCAUUUUAGGUAAGACUUAAAAACGAAUGUGUUCGAAAGGAAUAUGACCAUUUUUACCAUAGUUGUUAUUGGCUUUAAAAAACAACAGAGGUAGUUUUUUAAGAUAAAGGAAUACAUGCUAUGGAUUGUUAAUUUUACUAAAGUAAUUGUUACUUGUAGGCUUGUUUAAUUUAAUGUUGCCCAAUAUCACUAUACCCCCUCUUUGCAGCUAUGUAUGAUUGGAUCUAGAAUCAGGUUCAGAGUACUUUGCUUCCUGGAUUUGCAGUGGUACAUGUCCUGAAUGCAGAAAUUUGUUGUUUGGUUUCAUUGCUAUGGUUACCAUGUUAUCCAAAAUGAAUGGUCUAAUCCACAAAACUCACCCCCGCAGUUUGAAGAAGGUUAACAUGUUCAGUCUUACCUAUACAAAUAAAGAGGUCAUUUCCAUUGACUUUACAAACCUAAGUUUAGGACAAAAAGGCAAACUCAUCAUGGAGAUAAGGCCAACCUUUGAAGACAUUUUUAUUAUAACAUUUUUCCUCCCACUAUUCAGUAUCUUGUUGGGACAUUUCUCACUAUUCAGUAUCUUGUUAGGACAUUUCUUAAGCUUAAAAAAUCUGGAAUUUGAACAUUGUCUCUGAUUUUUAUUCUGCUGUUAGUCUUACAUUUACUUUGUUUGCUAUAAAUGGUGUAGAUUGGUAAUUGUCUUUGACUCUUUGUUUGGUUAAAUAUAUUGCAGUGUUGUUGAAAAUGUUUAGCUUAUGAUAAAACUUUUGGUGACUUUAUGGUGAAAAUUUGCAAUCAACUGAAUGAAUGCAUUCCUCUUGAUGACAUCGUGAUACAGUAUUGAAUGUGGAAGAGUACUGCCAAAGUGAUACUGACCUUUUGUUGCCUCCGUGUUAUGAUGACCAGUUGAUUUUACAAACUUAGUCCAUUAUAGUUUGGCUGAAUGAUUUUGCAAGAGGCAAAUCAUAUCUUACAAAUGGGUAUGGUAUAAGAUAACAGACAUGAUAGUAUACCUUACAUGCUGAUAUUGGCUGACAUGGAGGCCUAACAUUUUCAGAACCACAUGAAUAGAUGUUGGUGGAUUGCUUUUUAUAAUUUUUAUUUUUUGGAACCUUUUUAUGUGCUUAUCUCUCAUAAAAUUGAAUAAAUAAGUUUUGAUAGAAGGAUUUUGUGGCACACAUCUUUUUCAAAUAAUUGGUCUUAGUUAAGGAAAGUUGAGAUUGAAUUCCAAAUACCAUUCAGUCAGCUAACACUGCAUGGUGCCUUAUUUUCUUUUCGUUGAAGAAUUUUGACUUCUUUUACUCUUUUGAUCGGCUUAGUCAGUUAGUAUUUGUUGAUAAGAUCUAUUGCUAUGUUUAGAUUCCUUGGUCUUACCACUUCAAUUGUAGAUCCAACCUAACUCCAUGAGGUUGACUACGUUGGGCAAAUUUCAUCAUAAAAAACAGGUGAUUAAAUAUAUGUGUACUAGCCUUUGGCAUAUUAUUUUUCAUCGUAGUCUUUUGGAGGACAAUAAAAUGAAUCUUUUGUCCAUUUUUUAUGAGUAUGUGUUUCUUUAGUAGUUUGGUAUCAUGAAAUUAAUUUUUGGUACCCAUGAAACAGUUUGUAUUAAAGCAUAUUUUGGUUGUUCAAGGUGUUGGGCGCAGAGCCAACCUCGAUUGAAGCUCCGGUCUGUCAUCAAUUUGAUGUUGGGAGAUGAGUAGGUUAGGUAGAAGAUCCUACAAAACUAAAUCAGAGGCAUGCCCGACAAAAGUAUUUCCAAAGUAGAGCUGGAGAAAUGUAACAGUUGCUUUAAAGGGUUCAAAGGGGUGUUAGGUUACUUAGCAUACCUAGGACAUUUUAUAUAAAGCUUUGGUAAUCAUCAAUAUUAAUUGGGAAGUUAAUUUGUGGAAUUAUUAAGCGUUACUCGAACGUGGAGAGUUAACCGAACCAUCGGGACAUUUCCAUUGGCAUAGUCGUGCGAACUUGGUAUAUUAUAGUUGUCCAUUGUGUUGGGCCAUGGAGCCAACCUUGAUUCAAGCUUGGGUCUAUUGUCAGUUUAAUCUCGCUAGAUGAUUGGGUUCAAUAGGGGCAUAUGCAAAAUUUAGUCGGGGACAUACCAAACAAAAGUCUUUAAUGCUUAAGUUAGUAAAUCUUGAGAAAUGUAAUGUAGGAUUCAGAGGUUUCAAAGAGCACUACCUAGGGCUUUUUAAUAAGGGUUUUGAUUACCAUCAAAAUUAAGUGGUUUCGCUGGAUUGUUGGGUGUUACUCGGAUGUGAGGAUUCACUCAAACCGUUAAGAGAUAUAUGGCAGCUUCAUGGCUGGAUUUGACCAUAUUAGAGAUACAGGGAGUUUCGUGGCUAGAUUCGAUCGUAUUCGAGAUAGAGAAUAAUUCAUUAUCAUAUUCCAUUACAUCGUUGAUAAAGGAUACUUUAUGGUCAUAUUCGGACACGUUGGAGAAAUGAUGCUUCAUGUCGAAGUCGAUUGCAUCGAGGGCUCGAGAUGCAUCUUGGCAACAUAAGUGGUGGACGCAGGCUUACUUCUAUGGCCGAGGUCGUGGGUUUGCACAAGUGAGAUGAUAAGGCCAUGGGUGAUAGGGUGACUAGUUGACAAGACGGACACUGAGGGAAACCCACGAACGAGGCUGUCGGUAUAGGCGAGGGGCCCUUGAGGGCAGGAGGAACGCUGAGGGCGCGAUUGCACGAGGCAGGCAAUGAUACUAUUGCACUUGGAGACGUAGGCAACACUACUAUUGUCAUCACUGAUGUGGGCACCUAACUCUUCCUCAGACUCCACAGCCCGAUAUAGAUUGAAUCACAUUUGGACUUCUUCCUUAGGUCUAGGAGAUUGGGUUUAUGAUAUGGUCCAAGCAGAUGGACUCAAUGUCGGAUGAUGAGGAGAAGCUAAUGGAUUAGUGGUAGUGGUGGUGGUGUUGGUGGGUGUGGAGGAAGUUGAGGAGGAGCUGGAAGUGGGAGUGAAGUUAUAAAGACGGUAGUUGGUGACACUAAGGAGGAGGAAUGUUAAGGGUGCGGUCGUGUGAGUCACAUGAUAGGUGUCGAUAACGCCGCCCUCACAUAUGGUCCACGUAAUUCAACAUCGCACACAAGCCGCAGAGCCAUGAGGAAGGGCAUGGGUCCAACAUGGAUAUGCCAUGUCCACCAAAAUAAAAAGAAAAAAUAAAAACAAACCUGUGUCAGACACAUGUUCGAUUGUAUCAUUGAUGUAUCCCUAUUAGACAUGGAUGCACCCAUCAAAUUGGGGUGUUCGUGCUUCUUAGCCCAAAAGUCCCCAAUACCCUCCAUUGAGUUUGAGCAUAGGAAACUCUCGUGAAUCAUUCAUGCUUUGUCGAACUCCGUCACUAUUUCUCAGGUGAGUGAAUAGUUGGUAGCUCAUCAAUGCUAAGCUUAGUCUUGUAUUAUUCUGUUUUGGCUUGGGUGCUAGGCAAGUGGAUUGGCGUCACUCGUGUCUUGUGUCGGAGUCAUUAGAUCAGCAUCGCAUGUUGGGGCCCAAGGCUAGCCUCAAUACGCCUUGAUAGUCUCGUUUUUUUAUGUUGAGGGAGACGAAUGUGUGAAUGAGUAUUGAUGUCACAACUUGGGCCUGAUGGGCUAAAGGGUCUAUCAACUUUGUUUGGCCGAACCAUUAGCCAAAAUACUUAAAUUGAAGUUGAUAGUAGUAUACUCAUCAAAACCUUAUAAACCAAUCUUAGUUUUAUCCACGUUCGAUAUGGGACUAAUCGAGAUACUAUAAUUUUUCCUGCUCAAGAGCUUCAUAUCUUCGUCAAGGCUCAACAUGGCCCAAAUCAAACUCUAGCAUGAUGUAUGUGAGACAUAGUUCAAUGGUGACUCCAUGCCGUGGCGGGUCCCCUGACUCCAUCCACGAGUAGCCUUUUUCUACUUGAGCUCCUUCACUAUGCUGAAAUACUGCGUCGGUUCUAAUACCAAAUGCGACUCGGGUCUAAUAAGUUAACUAGCCUAUCAACUUCGUUUGGCCCAAACCAUUGGCAAGAAUGCUUAAGUUAAAGUUGAUAGUAGUACAUUCAGUAGACCCUUAUAAACUAAUCUUAGCCUCAUCAACUUCCAAUAUGAGAUCAAUCGCGGUGUUACAAUUAUUAAAUUGUCAUUAUUUUGUAAGAUCUUUUGAGUAGAAUUACCUUGAGAAAACUUCUAGAUAACCUGAAUUAUUCCUUUUUAAUCAAAUCUAAUCUAUAGCAUACAGCAGUGUACUUGCUGGCAAUAAACUUUCUUCAGUGAAACUUAAUCUUGAGUGAGGUUAGUUGAUUCCCACCAUUGUGCAACAUUAGUAUUGGAGUUAUUCAUCACAACAUUGAUCUCUAAUCUUCCUCCACUAUAUAUUAGUUGUAUCUGAGCUUCCUACUUUACAAAGCCACCAUCUUUGAUGCUAAACAAACAGGUGGCUGCAGUCUGUGGGCAAAGGCAUCCAUGGAAGCCACCUUCUUCAUUUUAGUAGGUAAAAGCAGUUAACCUUACCUGUCUUCCCCACCCGAUGAACAGCUUCCUUGAAGCUUCCUACAGUUUCUUGCACUCAGCUGAUUGGACUCGGAAAAUAAAUAUUUCAUCUUAUUUAAUGUCAGUUUUCAGAAUUAUAUACCCUCAGCAACCUUUUUUUUUUCUUUUCAAGGACAUAAAACUGCUUUGUUGAUAAAUUUUGCUGUUAAUCUCGAGUUUUGGCAAAUUGAGAGCUAUGUCAUGAUGUCUUUAGAACUAAAUUUGGCACAACAGGAUAAAUUUCUAGCAUGCUUCUUAACCCUAAUGUUAGAAACCUAGUGGAUUCAGGUACAUGUUGCAUGAAACUCCACACACUCAUCAGGCUUGAUUGAAUUUUUAUGAGACUCACAUUGUGACAUCCAAGUUGAUGCUAAUUUAAUGAUUUAGUUUGAGGAGUCAUUACAUCCAAAUGCGAGCUUACUCAACGCACUUGAUCAGUGUCAUAGGAAACAUAUAUAUUAUCAUGAUAGAGUAUGAAAGCUUAGAUUAGGUAUAUAAAACACUAAGUGAUAGACAGAGUAGUAUCAGCAUGAAUAUGAAUGUUAGCUAGAUAUAUAAUUCAUCAUGUAGGAUUCAUGACAAAGGAGGUGAGUUGAACAUUAAAAGUUGUCUUAGUUGCCCAAUGAAGAAAAAGAUGGCUUUUUCAUUAAGUUCAUGAACCUGAAACACUGGUCCAAAGUGUUUAUUCAUUUAUUUUAAGAGCCUUGAAGUAUUUUUUUAUUCAUCAUCUCGGCCCAGUCUGAUAACUUAUUAAUUUGAUGAGUAUGAAACACUAAUUCAAAGCACUUACAUUCAUAUUAAUGAUAAUAGACUUAUUUAACAAUCUGCCCCACUUAAGUUGAACAUAUUGAACUGUACACUCAAGGCAUCUUUUCUGGUUUGGGUACCUCAUCAUGUCCAUAAAUAAAUCCCCCUUGAUAUGAUUUGUCACAACUUGAUCUGAGGAGAUAUCUUAAUAACAUUAUGAAUCUGAACUAAGUGCUUAGGCCAAAGUUAAUUACUAUAAACUUAUGUAGCUCUAUAUACCAAUUUGAUUGAGCUGUUGUAUGUGAUGUAGAUCUAAACAUGCAGCAUCACAUUCUUUUAUCCUGCUAUAAAUGCUCCUCAUCUUCAUGGUUUCACCUAAACAUCACUUGAAGUCCUCACAAGAACAGCCAUGUCUUCUCUUGGAGUCAGCUAUGCUUACAUCCAUGAACUGAGGAAACGCUGCAAGGAAAUGGAGAGGAAGAAGACAGAUGGUGGUGUGGCCACAGAGGAGAAGAGCUCCAAGGGAAGAGUUCAUCCUAGUGACACCCCUUCACCAGUGUAUAGUGAAGAACGAGGUGAAGGUAAUUGUUGGAGAAGCUCGUUCACCAAAUAAAUCCCCAAAAAAGAAAGAUGAUGAAUUAUUGGGUGUUGAUGGGGGGCUUGUUUUACAUUUAGACAAUGCUAUGUCCACAUAUAUAUAUUUUGCCUUCCAAUGUUCCAAGUCUCUUUAGUAGGGAAAUGUGGGAGGAAUAAUCAUCCAAUUGUUUUCUUUUUCUCUACCUACGUACGACAGAAAUAGAUGUUGCUUUCAUUAUUAACAUAGUUCAGGUUCAUAGCCAUAUGGAAGUUUUUUUAAGGAAUAAUUUUCUUCUAUCAUAUCAAAUUGCACACGAGAUACAAUAAUAACAACAAAACUAUAGUCCCAAUCAGCUACAUGGAUAUUUUUGUUGCUGUUGAACUCUAUGAUUGUAAAUUAUACAUAAAGAUACUCCUACACAAACUCGAAUAUGAGAUGUAUCAAUUGCCCAGCACCUACUAUUUACGUCAUGGUUUAAUUAACAUAACACGAGGACAUCUCAAUAAAGACGAACCAUAGAGAAGUUAUGAUGGAAGUCAAAGAGCAUAUGUUCAUAAUUUUGGGUUCAUAGAAGGUUUAUGAUGGAAGCCAUGUAUCUCAAGUUAACUUUUUUGUGUGUUUACUAGGGUUUUACUACACAUAUAACGAAACUUUUCUGAAUUCUCUCUCUCUCAUAUGUUUGUAUAGUACUUUAUUUUGGAAUUCAGUCUCAAAACCUCCUAAAAUUAGAUAUCAUUCUUUCCAUUGAAUUGGCAUGCUUGUUGAUGAUUAAGCCGAAGUUGGUAAUNNNNNNNNNNNNNNNNNNNNUUCGUUACUUAUAUAUAUAUAUAUAUAUAUAUAUAUAUAUAUAUAUAUAUAUAUAUAUAUGAUACAUAACAAUAACAACAAUAGAACCGUAAGGGUCUAAUACACUACUAUCAUCAAAUCAAUAUUUUAAAUAUAAAAAAUAUAUUUAACUAAAUCAAGCUUGAGAAUCGAUAAAUAUUUAUGAGAUGAGAUUUCCAACUCUCAAGUUUUAAGUGGGUUUAUCACAUCACCAACCCCUCUACUUAGAUCGUUUUUUAUAACUCUUAAGUAUAACUAUGUGCCUAUUUCAUUUUUCAUGUGAUGUUUGGUCUAUUCUUCCAUAUUUUUCAUAAACUUGAUGUCAAGUGUUUUGAGCCAAUCUAAAUUAAAUUGAUUAAUUUUUAUCAUCCAUCGAAUUGCAAUAAUGUUAUUAAAUUAAACCUAAUAUUGAACAUGAUAGGUGAUUUAAAUAGGAAAUGAUUGUAAUAAAAAAAAAAUAAAGGCCCAUGUCAGUUAGACAAUGUAAGAGUGAGUUUACUUACCAUCAGUAAAAUUAUACAAACAUUGAAGUUUUUCAAAAAUAUUUGAAGAAUUAAGACAUGUAAUGAUCCAUGCAAUGAUUCUCUAAGAAUUUUGGUUAUUCAAAACCAUAUUUCUUAGAGUGAAAAUAAAAUUGAUAAUUAAUUCAUAAAGCAGUAUCUUUUAGCUAACUAUAACAUUUUUAAAAAAGCAUAUUCCUAAUGAUGUCAGGAUCUCUAUAGUCUGAGACACCAAAAAUUCUGCCAUAUUAGAAAAAUCCAACUUCAUCCUUUCCCAACUGUUCUACAUCUUUAAUUUCCACAUGGAACCAAAUUCUCUCUUCCACAAACAUUAGAUAUAUAGCUAAAUCAAUCUUAGCCCUAAAGGUGAGUAUGAAGAGAGGCUUCUCUCUCUCCAAAUCAUGCACAUGUUUGUAACUUGAUUCAUUCUUAGAUAUUUUUUAUGAAUGGCCAAGACAUAGAUAAGUAUGAGUAAACAACCAAGUAUAAUUAACAAAGAAAUAGAAGACAUUAAGCCAAUUUAGUAAUAUAAAUAUUAUUAUCAGAAUUAUACAACCUAAGUUAUCAAACAUUUCUUUUACCAAGUAUUCAUCAUCAGUGGGAAAAGUGUUUUCUUUCUCUAUCCAUGAUGAAGCCCAUCAUAUUUGCAUUAACAAAGAAAUAAAAAAAAACAAUAAACCUAUCUAUUAUACAACCAAAGCAAUCAAGCAUUUCUAUCACCAAUUAUUCAUUAUCAGUAGAAGUUUUUUUUUUUCUCCAUCCGUGAUGAAGCACAUCAUACUUGCAUUUUACUUUGUGGUUCCAUAAUUAUUAACUCAAAACACUCAGAAUACUUUCCUAGCAGAAUCAACAAUUAAAAGAAUCAUUCAACCCUAUCGACAAUACACCAAAGAAGCAACAAAUGUUAUUGUUCAGUUCUCAUACAGAACCAUGAGUAACUGCAUGUUGCAAUACCAACAUCCUUGCACAAUUAGUUCGAACACAUUCGGUGGCGAAGAAAAACUUCUCCAGAUGACGGUGAAAUACUGAAGCUACUAAUCAGUAAAUUCACAGUUACUAACUGGAAAAUUCCAUCAUAUCAUGGCCAAUUGUCAGAGGAUGGUGCAAGCACAUCUGUUGGUCUUUGGGUCUUUAGCAAGUGGUCUUUCUGUAUAGAAAUUACAAGGUUAGUAUGGUAGCAAAAUAAAAUUAAGUUUGUAUGGUAGGAUGACUAUGUAAACAAGAAAUGCACACAUCUGUUCACAUUUGAAUCUCAUUGCGUCAUAUAGAAAAUGUACAAAUUAAUAACCCUAAUUCAAUGGAGAUUUACUACUUGCAUCGACAAAAGAAACCGUCACUCAUUUGCACUAUGUUAUAAGGUAUAGACCAAUAACUCAUGAUUAUUGUCCUAAUAUUAGAACCACAAAUGCAAUUUUACCAGCAUCAAAUUGUAUUCCUAAUUUCCUAUCACUUAAAUGCAGAUAAUUAGGCCCUAAGUUUGAGCAUGUGCUAUGGUUUAAUUAACGAUGACUCAAAGAACCAUCUUUCUUGGUUCAAUCUUUUCCAAGAUAAAUCACAAUUUAUAAUGUUUUUACAGGAUGAUAAAACCAAAACGCAUGAACUUAUCUUCCAUAACUUGUAUUAACACUAAAAGGCAUAAAAUAUGUGCAGCGAGAACUAAAAAACAAAUGUGAAAGCAAUAACAUCAGAGUCUGCCAAUGGGACAUCAACCAUGUGCGACAUCAACCCAAAAUCAAAUUUCUAAAGUGAUGAUAUAAAUUAAUAAAAACAGUGCAAUGAACUUGCAUAACUGCAUCAUGUAUGUAAGAUUAUUUGUACUUAGGCCACACAGGAUUGACUGUUUGCACUUACAAACUUGCAUAAUGUACACAAAGGUAUCUUUCAGGUUAAAUUAGAAUCUCCUUUCCAGAUAUGUUAAAUACAAAUUCAAGUUAAACUAGGAGUAUGGUUGGAUGUAUUGACACAUGGUAUGUUCUCAUGCCAACCAGUAUGAGUCUGGCUGCAGGGGAGGGUAGAAUUGAGAGAGAGAGAGAGAGGAGGAGGACGUAACAGUGACCCAAAGGAAAAGGCAGCAGCAACAAACAGAAAGGAUGAGGCGGCAGAGGAAGUGGAUGACGAUACUGCAGAGGAGGAAGAGGAGGAGAAAGAAAAUAAGAGCAGAGAUGAAGGCAAAGUGAAUGGAGAAGGCAAAGAGGAGAGAGAGAGAGAGAGAGAUAGAAGAGAAAAACAACUGUCUUAUCCUUAUAAAAACAGAAAAAAUUUAAAAAGUACCAGUGUUAGGCAGUAGGCUUACUCCCACAUACGUAUCAAUACCAAUUAGUUUAUCAUUGGGUAAGCUAGUAUGAUGACCUUACUGGGUGGUCAGCUUCGUUUUGCACCAGACCAGAAGAAAUUGUUCAUAUACUGGAUGGCUACGGAAUGAUAAAUACAGGUCCAGCCGGUACAGUUGAAAUUUUAAACCUUGACAACAAGUACAUAUACAAUAUAUUCUUGAUGUAUACCUCAUCAUACAAAAGAAUGUAUCAGAUGAUCACGUCCAUUAAAAUCCAUAAUAGAAUGUUACAUUAUCUCAAAAAUAUUCUUUUAAUUCCUUUGUUUCAUUUUAUCAUUAUCAACAAUCUCCAGAAAAUAGAUGGCAACUGGCAGGUAGUCAUGGUUCUGUUAGAAUUGUAAGCAUGUUGCAAGGAAGAUGGAGUAAUGCAAGGUGCAAAAAAUCAAAGUGCCUGAAAUUUAUACUAAAUAAAAGAGGGACCAAAAAGAUGGAGUAAUGCAAGAAACGAAAACAUGUAAAGAAAAUUUUAAAAGAAAAAAAGAAAACAUGCAGCAACUCAUUUCCUCCACUUGGUCGAUGCAAUUCUAGAUCAUUUUCACCCCAAGUCUCCUAACAAGAAAUGAAACAAUGACAUGGGCUACAACUAAAUAUAUCCAUUUUCGACUUGCCUGAGGGCCUGACCAGCUUCAAAACUGAACCAACACAGUCCAACUGAGCUAAGUGGUGCAUGAACCAUUUGAGGACUCAAAGUCCUUGAGACAGCCCAAGAUAGUGUUUCAGACAUUGAAAGGCACACAGAGACCUCUCAGAUCAAGAAAGGUAUUUAGGCAGUUGCCUGCUCUUAAGGAAACACAGAUUCAAUUGACACGAUAUCAUUUUGAAUCAAUAUUCUGUAAAAUAUAGAAGAAAUACUAUAUCUAAACUCCAAAAUGCACCCUGUAAGAAAAUUAAUUCAUAAUGUCAUGCAACUGAAUCCUAUGUGCUGUUUGACACCCAUCGGUAUUAUGUUAAUACAUAAGACAUGCUAAAUCUAUUCCACUUUUUCAAACACUAGGAAGAUCAUAACUGCUUGAAAAGUUUGACUAAAAGUAGCUUUUAAAUGUUUCAAUGUGGAGCAUUAGGGCAUAACAAAUGCAAAAAAGAAAUUCACUUAAGAAUAUAAUUGGAAAAGAAUUAGUUCAUUUGGCAAUAGAAACUAUAUAAACAAAAAGUAGUUUGAACUUUGAACAUAUGAACAAACAUAAAAGAAAAAGCAGGAAUCACAGAAAAUACCAUUAUUUUUGUCAAGCAUGGGAGGCCGCACUACAACAUGCAUAGUGAUAACACCACCAGGAAGUUCACAAACUGGUACCCUAGACUCAGUAAUUGUCCAGGUGUUCUCCAAAAUCUUUCCAGCAUUUAUGAGCUUGACAUCAUUUAUGGUUUUUGGAGCAAUUUCUGUACCUAAGUAAACAAAUGAGUUCAGCCCCCAAAACAAUACAUAAAUGAAGGGAAAAAAAUUUCAAAUCCAAAGGGCUAUAUGAUUUAAAUAUUUAAAAAAAAUUAAAAAUAAUGAUGUUGUAGAUAGUGGCAUUUAUCAUAAAUAAUUAAAGUGAGAAGGCUCUUCUUUCCAAAUAAACAUAUAUGAUUCAAAAACAAUUUACUUUUAGUCAGCAUUAAUUCUAAACUUAAGUUACGGAGACAAGCAUUAGAAACCAAAGAUUUGAAACUAGGUGGUGGUACUAAGACCGAAAAUGUGAAAUUUUAUUUUAACAGCGGUUAGAGAAAAAAUGAGGGUGUAGGUAAGAUAGAUGAAAGAGAAAAAAUUUAUGUAUAGUGAAUCUCCCAUCCAUUCACUUAGUUGUUUAUAAGGUAAGAUAGAUGUAAAAGGUAUCCUCUUCGAUUUAUUUUUAGUUGUUUACAACAUUGUUAUUUCCAAUUGCUGUUCCCACUCCAAGCACGAAGCAAAUUAUUUCUUCUCCCGUUUUUUUCAAUAGCAAUGUCAAAGCCUCUAUGUCACACCUCCUAAGCAACCACAAUUACCUCUAUGCCUUUUUCAAGAAAUUACAGGCUUUGACAAAGAAAAAACUUGCAACAAAUUAUAGUCAAUCAAGACAUGCACCCAAGUGGUAUAUGCAAUUAGGAUCUGUGUAAUUAAAGGUUUUAAUCAAAUUCACCACUGACAAAAGCAUAAUUAGGACUUGGCAGAAUUCAUCUAGAUAAUCAAAGAAAUAAAACGUGAGGAGAAGACAAGCAAUGUGAGCGGCCAAAAGGCCAUCGAGGUCUCACCCUGGGGCCAUCGAGCAAGUAUAGCUUCUUUGAGAGAGGCGACGGUGGUCGAAGGAUCGUACUUGUUCGGCCCGAUGUCGGUGCCGUCAAACAGCCUAAACUUGAGCUCAAUCAAAUCAUCUCCUGCCAUCGCCAGGCCUUCAAGAAACAGUUACUAUCGCCCAAACAAUCCACGAAUCAGGACCAAUUCAGCUUUUGCGGCACCGAUCAAUCCAAACUGCCAAGCAAGAGCGAAUCAGCCGAGAAAUCACGUGGGCCUCAAUUCCUCCAGCAACCAGAAUUCCCAGGAUUAGCAGGUAAAAACCCCUCUCUGCCGGCCGUAGAGAAUCUUGCAAAUUCCGGAUCCAAUACGAAGAAUCACGGCUGACUCCCGCCCUACAUGAUCAGUUUUCAUAUCAAAAUUGGGUCUCGGAGGAUUCAAACAAGCCAAGAGGCAAUCUAGAUCCUCUUAGCGUUGCUGAAAUUGCUCGAGGAGUGGAAGAGGCGAGUCCAAAAGAAGGGAAAAAGACGCUUCUUUUGCUUUCCAAACCACACCCUCCUCCUCGGCCCCCUUUGCUUUAUUAUAUGAUUAAGCCAAAAAAGCCACUGGGAAUAUAUCUUAUUAGCUUCGAUCAACACAACGGUCUUUCUACCACCAUAAAUUUAGAGUAGUACGCGACAAUCAAUUAUUAUUCUCAAAAACAAAUCUUAGUAAAAUAAUUUUUAUUCAAACAAAAAAUUUCAAAUAUUUUUCAUAAAAUGACAGCAAUCUUUUUUUUUCAAAAAAAAAAGCUAUAUUAUUAAUCUUUGCUUAAAAAUACAUAAAAUACUAAAUCUCCUAUAAAAUAGUUACUUGGAAGAACAAAACAAAAUAUAUCAACAAAUUCAUCGAGCAGGAAGAUUCUAAAACAUCCCUUUAAAACAUAUGACAAGGUCUCAAAUAAAGUAAAUCACAAAUAAAAUAUCAAUCCAAUCAUGCCACUUGUCAACAUCAAAAUCUGGAAUCACUUGAGCUGGCCUAAUCGGAUCUGAAUCAGUUCACAUUGGUGGGCUAAACCAGCUUGAAUUGGCCGGAAAUGGUCUGAAACUGUCCUGGACCGAUUGCAACUGAUUGAUUUGGAAGCCACAAAGGGUCCGAGCGUUGGGCCGCCGGAAUCGACUGUAACGACUCCAGUUGGGCUUCAAGGCGACUUCUGCCCAGCUAGCCGUGAGCAGGGCCCAAGCCGUCAGCCCACGAGCCACUGGGUCGCAAGGGCCACGGGCCCUGCGUCACACAAGGCAGCACCUGGGUGGGCUUGUCGAUCGAGCCAACUGGUCUAACUCGAGUUAGACAACAGGCUGAAUGGUUUUGAAUUCGACCUAAUUUGAAUCUCUCUUUUCUUUUAUCAUUAAUUUACAACCAAUUGAUUGCAAAAUUUGAAACAUGUAACAUCACAUGGAAAAAUAAGAUUAAGUAUCAAAAAUCAUAUUACUAAUAAUAGUUUGAUCUUAACGACUUAUUUAUUUGAAUAUGAAUUAUAAAUACAAAUAUGUAAAAAUCAAAUAUCUGAGUUUUAAAACAACAUCAUGGAAAUUUACUUACAAAUCAUAAAUCUAAAUUAUGUACAAAUAUCAUCUUUUUAGUUCUAAAAUCACCAAUGCUAAAAUUCUAAAAAGAAUGGAAAAUAAUUGUAUCAUGAUCGGACCAUUUUUGUAAAUCAAAACUUUAAAAUUAAACGAAAUAAUUAAAGGAGAGCGAUGGACCUAUCUAUCUCUUUGACGAUCUUCUUGUUGAUCAAAAACCUUAAGUCGUCGUUGAUCAACAUGAGGAUAUAACUAUCAAUUAAUAGGAGAAGCAAGGCGGGUUUCCUACUCAAGCGAUGAAACCAAUCAUGGCAUCUUUGGAAUUUUAAUUAGUUAAUUAAUUUAAUUUUAUCCUUGAUUGAAUUAUCUUAGGAAUCAACAUUCUCUCUUUAGUUAUAUGCAAAUAAGUUGUACAUUGCAUGGUGACAUUCCUUAAGAAAAUUUUAUAUCUAAAUUUGAUUUACCUAAAUGAAAUUUACGUAAACCAAAUUGCCCUAUGAUAUACGCUUUAUGGUAUUUGCAACUAAGGGUAUAGAUUUUCUAUGCUCCCUUCUUUCCAAAAUUUGGAUUAGUUGCUGACAAUAUCUCUCAACUAUAUUAUAAGCUCAUUUGAUUGUUGAUUUGCUCUUCUGUCCAAAUCUCAUCACUCAUCUUAUCAAAGAUAUUUUAGAAAAGAUGUGAUCUCAAACUUGUUCAAAUUCCAUGUCCCUUCUUCAAUUUGUGCAGCUUUUCUUCCCAUUACAAAGAGAUAAUGUCAAUAUCUCUUUGUAAUAAUCAUAAUAUAAAAAGCUUUCACUCUCGAACGACAUCCUAAUACACAAACAAUAUACAUUUUCACAUAUAAGAUACUUCAGAAGAGGUCAUCCAUAUGUUACACUGAUAAUUACUUUUGUAGGCAAAUUCAAUAAUGUGCAUAUGCUUAUCUCAACUACCAACUAAAUUUCAGUGAUAAACUCUUAAAAGAUCCUUCAAAAUUUUAAUUAUUUUUAAAAUUUAUUAUUUAUUUAAGGAUGAAAAAUUAUACUAAAUUUUAAUUGAGUACACAAUAUGAAUCGAAUAUUUUUAUUAGAAAUAAAACUAACAAGAACUCUACAGUCUCUCUUAUACAUAAUUACGUUAGUUUGUUUGAUGAAUAAUUCUUGUUAACAAAACAAAUUAUGUAAACUUAUUAAAAUUACUAACAAUCACCUACAUAUUAUCAUCUUCUUUCUAUAUUUUAAAUAACCCUGAUACAAAAUAUAUAGUAAUGUACUCCCACUUUCAUUUAGAAAUUGAUAUAUUCUAUAAUUUGUCAUUAUGUACUUAUUGCUCUAACUUUCAUUUAUUAACAAAACAAUCAUUUGAAGAUAAACUUUGCUAUAUUUCUCUUCAUACCUAACCACUGGUAUUUGAUACAUCUUGAUACUUUCUAUAUGAAUGGCAAAUCACAAAUAUAUAUCUCCCUAAAUGAUUUUGGGUAAAUAACUCUCUCUGGAUUUUUGUUGCUUCUAUGCCUAUUUUAACCAUCUACUUUAAUACCUCUAUGUUCUUAAUAAGUUCUUAUCUGACUAAUCGAAAUAUAAAUUGUACCUCUCACUCAUGACUUCCACCGUCUUAUUGCACAGCAUAUGUCAACUUUGUAUUUUGUUAUACUAUUAGUAGUGAAAUUUGCUCGUCUAGCUUUAUCUAUUGAUUACAUCAAGUUUCUACAAGUGAAUAUAAGUUCUAAAAAGGUCUACCAUCCAAUAGCUGUGAUCAUACCUUUAUACAACUAAGUAUUUUACUUAACUUGUGAAUAUGCACUUGGAAAAUAUAUCCUUAUGGUAUUUUGCCUCAUUUGCUUAUGUUUAAAGCUUUAAUCCUAUGUAAAUUUAAUAUAUCACUUACCUUUAUAGUAUCAUAAGAUUUGUUUCUUGAGUUUGUAGCCCUUUAUAAUAUUGUGUUGAUUACCGAAACAAAGCUCAAACAGCUCCAACCAUUUCUCCAUUCAGUGCAAACAAGUUUUUUUAGACAACACAAGUUAAGAAUUUGUCAAAUUUUCUAGGUAAUCAAUCUCUUUCUUACAAGAUACUUUAUAGGAAUAUAUUAAUCUUCUUUUCUACCACAUUUAAAAUUUUAUUUUAAUAAAAAUAUUUUUAAUAUAUUUUUUUUAUUUCAAACUUAAAUAUUAUUUUUUCUUCAACCAAUACAAUAUAGAACAAAUGAGAGAAAAAGACCUUCAUUUCUAGUUUAUCAUUAUUUAAAUAUCAAUCUAAUUUAGGCAUAUGAGAUAAACAGUGAUUUUUUUAUUUGAAUAGGAGAAAAACACAGGAUUCAAAUUAUUAUUAUUAUUAUUAUUAUUAUUAUUAUUACAUUUAAUUUGCCACCGGUCUUGUAAUGUCUUGGGGGGGGGGGAAUGCAUUUGGACUCUCUCCUUUCAUAUUUGUCUUCUUUUUAUCUGAUUCUUUCUUUUUGUAAUUAUUUUUCUUCUAUAUUUCUUUCUCUUUUAUUUUUUUUUUUCCUAGCUUUUUUUUUGUUUACGUGAGAGGUCUUCCCAUACAACAUUCACCGAAGAGCCCUUUGAUGUCAUUCUACAAAAGAUUGUUAGGUUUGGAAAUUGAGAUGAACAUGUUCUUGCAAAACUUUAUAGAAGUUUUAAUUUAGACUACACUUAGUCCUUGAAAAUUCAUGUGCAUGUUUACCAUCAAUACCUUUUAAUUGGUACCCAUCUGAUAUGUCUAUUUUUAUUUUCCCUUGGAUUUUUCGUCUACAAAGGAUUAUAUGACUAUUUUCAUUCAUUUUAGUCUCAGUAUGUUGCCUUGUACUUUUGAUCUGUGAGAAAUCAUCACUGACAAUCCUUUUGAUCACACCACAACAAAAUAUAAGAUAACACAGAUAAAUCAAGAUAUAGAUUAAUGUUCAAAAUUAAUCAUGGAUGUUACACGCAAAGCGAAGGAAUUGAAAGACAUUUCUGUAUAAUCCAAAUCAGAAAUUGGAGAGAACAGAUUUGGCACUAAAAAUAUUAGCUGUUCAUGAUAUCUCUGAAUGCAGCAGUUUACUUGUGUGUCUCCCUCCCUCGUAGAAACAACCCCACGCCACACUUGCAAAGACAUCUCCACUUUCAAGAACAAGCUUCGACUUUCUUGCAGCAAAUCAAAUCAAAUGGCUGCUUUAUUUGAAUUCAGAUGAUGAGUACAUAAUUUUGCUGCUAAUAUUUACACAUAUCCCCCAGCUUUUUUCCACCAACAAUGAAGAAUUAUCAUUCAUCAUCAAAACUUUAUUUGAUUGCCAAGAGGAAGGAGCAUACAAGUCAUCCCUGUCAUAAGAAGUCUAAGCUUAGCAUGCUAGGUUGUACAAGAAUUUGCUGACAGUAUGCAUGUUUCAUUUUAUUGUCUGAGCAUCAAAUGUUUAUCUCAAUAAGCUAGAACAAAAAAUUAUCCAGUGCUAGGUUUAAAUAUUUGAUCUUAUUCUCAUAUUAAAUGUACCAAAGAUCUUAAUUGGUACAUCAGAACUACAUGAGCAUCUUAUGUCACUGAUUCAAAUCUAUUGUUAAUGAAUCAAUAAUUUUAUCGGACCAAAUCAUCAUAAAUGUUAAAACAUACCUCAUGAUAUCGAUUAGUAUAGUGAAACAUAAUUGAAAAAGGGUUACUUGUGGAUAGGAACAUCAAAUGUGUUUACUUUAUUGUUUGAACAGCAAAUGUUUGUUUAUUUAUGCUUGAAAAUUUUAUUUAAUUCUAUAAAAAAAAAUUAAUUAAAUAUUAAAUAUUUUAAAUUAAUGAGUCAAUUAUUCCAUUUAAAUCGUAUGAAUGGUUAGACACAUUAUAAACUAUGGUAAAAAUGCCAAAGUGAGAAAUGAUUACUAGUGGAUGUGAUUAGGCAUCAAAAUAAGGAUUUAACUUACGAGUACUUACAUUUGAAUCUUGAUAUUAUUGACAAAGUCAUUCAAGUGGAAGUGGAAUAGAUUGUAACACCACACCACCAACAAUCUAAUCUUUUUUAGUGGGAAAAAUUAUAUUGAUUUAUAAAUAUCUCGGAUUAUUUAUUAUUCAGAUUUAUCAUUGCAUCAUAUCAAAAGAAGAUAUCACUGUCUAAUAAAGUUCUGAAAACGUAUUAAAUAUACCAUUCAGAAAUCCAUACUACUAUUUUUCAGAUAAUUUGAUGUCAUCAACAACAGAGUUGGAAUUAUGUCUACGCUUUCUUUCUAAUUCUAAUUUGAGCUUUUGUGAAGAAAAAGAAGCAUACCGACUGAUAACAACGUGACAGAGUCGAAACCAUCAGCACCGAUCUGUGUCGUCCAUGUCUUCUUCUUCGCCUUCUUCUUGCUUCUUCAGCUUGGCUUGAGCCUCCAACAGUGCCCUGCUCACCUCCUCAUCCCCUGGAAUCUCUUGGAUCAGCACUCCAUAAUCCUUCACCGAUGCCUCCCACCUCUCCAACUAGCAGACGAUCAAUGGAGAUGACAUCAAUCCUUGUCCCGGACUAUGUAGACUUGAGCAUGGCGGAAUUACUGACCUUGGCGUUGCAGUCCGCCCGCCGGAGGCGAGCCUUGCUGUAGGAAGGACGGACGGCAAGGGCGGUGCUGCAGUCCUCGAUCGCCUUCUCGUAGUGCCCAAGCUUGGAACGACAGGUGGCUCGGUUGUAGAGGAGAACAGCGUUGUGCGAGUCCUGGCUCAGGCCGUCGCCAUACGCGACGCAUGCCUCGGCGAACUUCGCGGCCCGGAAGAGAUCAUUGCCUCUGGAGCGAGCCGCGGCCACCGCCCGGGUCCGCCGCACCACCGCCCCGAUCUCCCGGCUACCGGGGUCGAGCUGAGCAGCCACCUUGGCCGCCGCCACCGCGUCGUUGAACCUUCCUGCAGCCAUGUCGACCUGCGCUUGGACCAUGAGGACGUACGCCUUCGCGACGGUGCCGAAGAACCUUGUGUGCUCAUCCAUGCCGAACUUGGGCGCGGCGCUCAUGAUCGAGUCGGCCUCCUCGUGUCGGUUGAGCUUUAGAAGCGCUUCCGCUUGCCGUGCGAAGACCUGCCAAGACAAAGCCAUGGCCAUGAAUUGUGCAGGUGGAUCGAAGCAGAGACGAGAGAUGGAAGGAGGAAGACGAGACCUGUGGAGCGAAGUCGGCUCCGGAGGAAGCAGCAGCCUGUGAUUCCUUCAACAGGGUGAUGUAGUCCUUCAACCUGCGUGCUUCGUUGGACCGGGAAAGAUGGGAUUGCAGAGCCUGCGCUCUCGCCAUGUCGCCCGAGCUAGCCUCGUUUCUUGACUGCUUGAAGUGAUGGAUCGCCUUCUCCGCUUCUCCCAAUCUGAUGGAUUACCAUGUGAUUAAGCCGUCGUGAUCCUGCAAGCAGCAGUUGGAUUGACGUGAGAUGGGAGCUACCUGAGAUGGAGCGUAGCCAAGCGGUGAUGAGCCCGGUGGUAAGCGGGAUCGAGUCGAAUGGCUUCCUUGCAUUCCACGACGGCCUCGAGGAGGCGGCCCAUGGCAGUGAGCGCGGCGGCCUUGUUGCUGUAAUAGGAGGCCUUGCCGGGAUCCAUGUCGAUCGCCCGAUCGUACAAUGCCAACGCCUCCGCGAACCGCCCCAUCUUAUACUCCCCGUUCCCCAUUUCCUUUAGCUCCUCCGGGUCCAGCAUCCUCGAUAGAACCCGGCAGAGCUCCGGUGCCGGUGCCGGUGCCGGUGCCGAUGCCGGAAUCGGCGACGGUCUCAUUGGAUUGCCGAGGCUUCCUUUGGUGUUCUUGGCCACGGUCGGAGGAUUUUUGAAGUUGGCGUUGCCACGGAGGUUGCCCAGGUUCCCGAAGACCAUAACGUUGCCGGACGAAGCCCGGACGAGGUGGCCGCCGUCGCUGGCGUUAUGGCGGUCGUAAAGCAUACCGUCGAGCUCCGCCAUUAAUCCACUGUUCGACCUCGCCGUCGUCUGCGGCGGUGGCAUCCGGGGGUUGGCCACAGCACGCGCGGUUGGGGCCGGGGACCGGGGCUUCACGACGGGAACCGGGGGAAGGACGGGGACGAUCGAGGUGACGUCGGAUCCGGUGCGCCGGCGCGGAGCGGCCGAGGAGUCCUGCAACCUCGACGCGGCGUCGGGGACGAUUCGGGGGAUGGAGCUGGUGGACCUGGACCUCCGGCGGCGGAAGAGGCCGCAGCCGGAGAUCCUUGGCUCGUCCUCGACCUCCAUCUUCUCCGAUGCAGGACUCCGGUGGCUACGACGAGGUGGGGUCGGCAGCCCGGCAUUCGCGCAUGACAACAGCUCGCAUAGAGAGGGAGAAAGCUGGCGAGACAUCUAAAAGGAGGAGGGUGAGGCGAUAUAUAGCGUUACGUCUCUGCGUGGCUGUCAUGCACGGUUAAGGAGGUGGAGCUGAAAGCCAUCGACGGAGGAAGCACAGCAAAAUAAUGUAAACCAAGAGGGUGGUGGAAUUGCUUGGAAUGAGAGAAAGAAGAAUAGAAGAGGAAUUCUUUUUGUUUUAAGGGUAAAUUCUUUGGAAGAAUUCCUUCAUUUUUCUUUUCUUUUUUUUUGCCUCUUUUCUAUUUUUUUUAGAGGGAGUCCUAUUUUUUAUAAUACCAAAAUAGCUCUUAAAGUGUCAACAACAAUUUUUUCUCCCUAAAUUUCCUGUAGAGAUUCUCAUUUUUAAAAUAAUACCAAAAUUCCUCUCAAUAUAUCUUUUUAAAUUUCUCACAGGGCAUCCUUUUUUUUUCAAUAAUAACAAAAUACCUCUCGAACUAUGAAUAAAAUUUAUUUCUAAAUUUCUAGCAUUUUUAUAAUACCAAAUUUCCUCUCAAACUAUCAACAUAAUUUAUUUCUAGAUUUUCCACAGUGCAU